GAGAAAAUACUAGAAGCUGAAGCAGCCAAACUCAUAUGUAGGAACCAAACUAACGAGUAGUUAAAGAUGUGAUAUCUUUGUACCAAAAAAAUAAAAUAAAAUGUGAUAUCUGAAAAUUUACCACAUAUAUCCAAAAUUGUAUCUCAUGGGUUCAAGACACAUAGCGUUUUGAUCCUCAUUUCAUUAACUCACUAAGUUAGACAAUCAAUAUAAUGUGGCUAAUGCAUAGACAAAAAAUGAUUAAAUAUGUAUUCCUACUAGAGUAAAGUAUUCCUGCUAGAGUAAAUGAUUAUCUUUUUAAUGUGGUUAUUUGAAGUUAAAGCUCAGCAAUUUUAUGUCUAAAUAUUUUGGAUGGUUAUGUUGUAGUAUACAGUGGUCAAGUGUCGAACACAAAUUCCCACUUAUUCACCUAUUUUUUAAGGAUCCACUUAUUCACCUUAAGAGGUGAAUUUUAGUCACUAAAUCUUCCUGACAAAAAAAUAAAAAUUCCGAGUACAUUUGCUAAGUUAUUGCAAGAUUGCGUCGUACCGGUACAACUGCCGCCAAUUCCAUCACAACAUUUGCAAACAAAUCCAAGUUUUGCAAAAAUCUUUGAGUUCCCUGCAAUUACAUAACAAAAAGAGGAAAAUAAGAACACAAUAAUGUCAUGAUGUUUUAGACAUGACAAUGUCUCAAUUGCUUUUGAACAACCGGCAUCUAAUUCUACAGCACCGGUAACGGAAAUUACGGUGCCAAUUGCGGUGACGGAGCAGCCUACUGAGCAGCACAUGCCCACGGUUAGUGAUCUGACUGUUGCUAAGACUAUUGAUCAUCCUGAAACUUCUGCAGCCCUAGACGCAAGUGCGAAUGCCUUAGGUGCUAAGUUUGCAUUCUCUUAUCGCUUGGCGCUUGACAAAGUUACGGACGAGAUUGUCAGUAAUACUGAUAUUCCCACAUUGGCUGAACCGGUGCUGAAUUUAUCACAUGAGAUUACCCCACAUUCAAUUGCAAUUCAUACCGACUUUUGACAAAAAUACUGAUGGGUUUGUCAGUAAUAACGACACUCCCAAAGAGGAUGCACCGGAGCUGCAGUUACAACAUGAAAUUGUUCCCCUCUCAGUCGCACUUCAGCUCAAUGAGGAGGAGGGUUCUGACGGUGAAAGUGAUGGCGUUGAAAUACAUGCAGAUUCUCCUGUGUCAAAGUCGCAUCCCUUUGCUACUGUUAUUCCGCAUCGCUGCCCUAUUAUUACUAAAGACUUGGAAACAAUUCAAAAGGCCCUGGUUGGUUCGAAUGUGGCAGAUGAGGAUGGGUUUACCGCGGUUGUCUCCAAAAGCAGUCGGAAGAAGAAGAAAGGAUAUCAAACCCGCUCCCAGGGUCCGUUACCAAUGCCUUCUCAAUGAAAAUUCUUUAUUGGAACGUAAGAGGUUUUGGCAGUUACAUACACAUGGAAAAGGUUGAGAUUGUUCUUAAGUUGGAGUUUAUAUAUGAUGCUGCAACCAGGUUCUGUUUUGGUGUUGCUACUGAUCAACAUGGCUGCUAUUUGCUUCAACGCUGCAUUGAAUUCUCCAACGGAAACAGUCAACAAAAGCUUGAUAAUCACCUAGCUCAACAUAAAUGUAGAAAUCAUAUUGUUCAGUACAUUAUACAGAUGCAGAAUCAAGUGCCAUAGCAGAACUAACUGCUCAGUUCAAAGGGAACUAUGUACUACUCUCCGUGCAAAAAUUUAGUAUCCAUGUGGUUGAAAAGUGCCUCGAACAUAUUGUACUCGUAAGAGCGGAUAAGCUAGCUAGUCACGGUUACAUGGCUACAGACACGAUUUGGUGGGACAUUAUGCCCGAGUUUGUUCGGGGGGAUUUCUUUAGGGACCGUAUAGGGUUACCUAAUUUGCGUUUUCCGUAAUUUUCGUUUUCUUUUGAGGGUUUGGUUUGGCCCCCCUCUUGUACAUAUUUUUCCUUUUAUUUUUAUUUUUAUAUAUCAUAAAAACAAAUCGAAUCAAAGUACCUUUAUAUGGCGAAAUUUCAAAUUAAGUUAUUUGUGAUUGUGCAAUUUAUUAGUCAAUAUAAUCCAUGUAGUCCUUGAAUCUGAAAACUAUUUUUAAUUAAUUCUAGUCAAUUUCAUAUGUCUUUCAAUAACAAAUUGCAACUCUUAAACUAUUUUAAUUUUUUUUUCUUGACUACUCAACACAUUCAAAGACGAAAUUGAUUAUUUGAAAAAUAAAAAACAAAAUAAAAAAGAAUAACACAUACCUCACCGUUAGGGAUGAGAAUAGAUUAGGCCGAGUUAGGCUUUGCAAGGCCUGAGCCUGACCUGUUAAAUUUUUUGAAGGCCUAAGCCUGGCCUGCGACCUUUCAUAGGCUUACUUUUUCGGCCUAAGUUUGGCCUUGUGAAAACCUGAUACGGCCUGCUAGCCUGUUUAAAAAUCUAUUUCAUAUAAACAUUUUUAAAUAAGUAAUUGAGUUAAAUUUAAAUAGAUUAGCGAACUAACAUAUCAAUUAGAGUAAACUCUCUUUUGAUAAUCAAGAUGAGUUUUUUUAGGGAAUUUUACUAUAUAUAUUGUAUCAUAUUUCAAUUCUAGUUUAUAACAUUACAUUUAAAUAUAGAAAAAAAAAAUUUAAUGUAUACUAAUAAUCUUAAAUUACGUUAACAAAUUUUUAUUUUAAUUUAAAGUACAAAAUAUAAUAUAAUAAUAAAUAAUAUUAUUUAUAUUUACUUAAAUAGGUCGGCCCAAUAGGCCUAAGAGACUUUUUAAAUGGUCUAUGACCUGACCUUUUAAGAUAAAUAAGUUUUUAAAAAAGUUUAGGCCUUCUCUAUUUAAGAAAAAAGUCUGGCCUCACCUGACUUAUCGUAAGCUACGCCAUAGACCGCCGUAGGUCGGCCUGACCUAUUUCCAUCCGUACUGCCCGUGUGGAUCUCGCUCGCAUAAUAUUGCAACAAAAGCUGCACCCAAUGUCAAAACUAUCUUAUGUUUCUUCUUCCUCAAGAACAAACCCCACAGUCCAAAAAAUAUAUAUACACUACUCAUGUAUACGUAUAGAGAGAGAAAGAAAUUGUUAUUUGAACGAAGAAUAUUUAACAAUGACUACGAGAAAGCUUAUUCGUGAUUUCUUACUUUCACAUCAUCAUUCUCUUAUUCUUCCUCAACAAGUUCGUUCAUAUUCUUCUUCCCUUUCAUCAUUAUCUUUUUCUUAAUUCUUAAUUUUAAUUGUGUUUUUAACGUUGUAGGGUGUGAAAACAAGGUUGUUUGUGAAUUCAGUUGAUAGACGAGGAUACAGUGUGUUCAAUGAAUUCUCUAAGAAGGUUAAAGAUGAAACUGUUAAGUACGAUUUCAUUCACUCUUUUAUCUCUUUUUAGUUUGUUUUCAUUGAAUUUUUGAAGUUCUAAUCAAAUUACACUUAGGUUCUUAAAGCUAGGUUAAGGGGUUGUACGUGUUUUUUAGCGGAUCAAACGCACUCCUAUUUUUCAUGCGUUUGAUCCAUGCAACUUUAAAAAACUUUAAUUAUAGCAUCAUGUUUUUUUUCUUUUCAAAGGCAAAUGUUAGUAUCUUAAUUGUUAUGUUAGUUUCUGUUAAGAGUUGAACACUGGACUUUUAACUCUAAACUCGCUUAGCACCAACCGGUUGAGCUACCCAACCCCACUGUCUACAAAAUAUCAUAUAAGACAAAAAAUUGUUCAAUACCAUAAAAGUUUGUCAUGUGCUGUUCCACCUUGUAUUGUGUUGUUUUGUGCAGUACUUACCUACUAGUAGAUUAAUCACACCCUUAGUAACUGUUUGGUUUCGUGGCGGGAAACCAAUUAGUCGUUAUUUUUUAAGAGUUGGGAAUUGUAGCUUCGGUCUAAUGUGCGGCAUCACCGCGAAAACAAACAUAAGCUUAGUGUAUGCUUUCUUUCACUUUGGAGAGUUAAAAUUAAUUUUAGAGGUAUAUAAUUGAUUUUUACUUGUUUGGUUACUUUCUUGAUUAGAACUGUUGAUUCUAACUUGAAGGUAGAAAUUGAAGCUUUUGAUUCUAAAAUUGAUCUUUACACUCAAAUUUAUUGUUUAACUCACUUUUACAUUAAUGUAUCCAAAACAUAAAUCAUUAUCUCACCGCAGAAUCAAAUACACACUUAGGUUCUUAUAGCUGGGUUAGUAAAUUGUAUGAUUUUGGUUUAGAAAUCAAAUUAACGUAUUAUUAACCCAUGUAACUUUGAAGACAACAUUUUAAUUUGUUUAAGUUUCUACACUUCAUUUUUAAGUUGUGAAAUUGCACUCUGGUUCUUAUAGCAAGGUUAGCACAUUGUAUAAUCUUGGUUUAAAAAUCAAAUGAACAUAUUAACCAAUGUAACUUUGAAAAGAGUAUUUUAAUUUAUGAAUGUAAAAUUCUAUGAAGCACAUACACUCUUGGGUUUAGUUGUAUCGAGGGACAAUGUUGUCAAUUACAGAUAGUAGAAAAUAUUAAGGAUCGUAAAAUAGCGGUUUGUUCAAAUUGUGCUACACUAGAGCGCCAUAGUGUUAGAAUAACCACUAUUUGUCAAUUCUUUGUACGAAAUAGCAUAUCACGAAACAUCACCUUGUUCAAAUUCAAAAACACGAUAAUGAUAUAGCCGCUAUUUGGCAACACUAAUGGAUACACUUUUUUCGUUGCUUUGUCAUAUCUCCAACACCCAUUGGACCCGACUGCCAUGAGAACGGACACAUUUAUUUUUUUAUUGCAAAAGUCAGAAACUAAUAUCCUUUUAAAAGUAAUAAAAUCAUAUUUUAAUUAGGCAUUUGAAAACUUUGAGCAUAUGCGCAUUUUCCUUACAUACACACAUCUUCAUCUUUUUGCAGUUUUUGAUUUCCCUAUUUCGUUCUCCGAUAUUUAUGACAUUAGUGGUGUAGUGUCUUGGUGUCCGUGUCGUAUUUGUACUUUAUUUUUCAUAGGUAAAAUUUCACGAAUUAAAUAAGUCUAUUAAUAUAUUUAGCUUAGAAAUUUUGUUAGGUUUAGUGUAACCUGCCCACAUAUAUGAUGACACAUAAGGUAUAUAGUGGUAUAGUGCUGCCAUAGCUGCUAUUUGAACUACUUUACUAAAUAGCAUAUUGCGGAACAAUAGUGAUUUCUUCAAAUUCCGCUAUCCUAUAGUGCUGUUAUAGCUGUUAUUUGACAACAAAUGAACGAAUAGAUCUAAAAUUUCAUGCUUGGACAUAAAAAAGCCUGCCCUGUUGAUUAUUUCCUAGCUUUUCGUUCCUCCCACUUAUAUAUUUUAUCAUCUGCUCUGUCUGAUUCAUGUCGUUGGUGGUUGUAGAAACCCGGAAUUCCAGAAGUCUGUGAAGGAGCUGAAGGAAAAAGCAGAAGAACUGAAAGGGAUAAAAGAAGGUCUGAAAGAAAAGUAAGUCUUGUUUUAUGUCACAUUAAGCUUUUGAAGUUAUCCAUUAAUAGGCUGAGACAUACCACUGUAUGUCAAGGCUAGCUCGACACUUAAAAGGAGCGACUGAGAUGGUUGAUUGGCGAUUGCAGAACAAAGCAGACAACUGAGCAGCUGUACAGACAAUUUGACAGUGUGUGGAAAGAAGCUGAAGCUGCUGCAAAGAAGGUAUAAAGCUUUGGUUUGUUUGUGUGGCCAAAGCUUUUGAUUCUUCUAUAUUGCCUUGUUAUUGAAUUUUUGGUUAGGAACUCGAUAUCCUUUAAUCUAUUGUGAAUAACAUGUCACGUUUCUUGGAAUUUGAUCAGUAAUUAUACCUUUUGCAGGUUUCUCACAAUGUUAAAGAGAAAAUUUCAGCUGCAACUGAUUUUUCAACAAAACAGAAUGCUGAUGCAAAGCAAGGAAGUCAGAAAUCACCUGAGGAAGAGAAAAACGAGGAAUCUCCGUCUGGCAAUGCUUCAGAAUCAUUGUUUGGCAAAUUUAAGUCAACCUUUUCGUCACCAAUGGUUUCUACUUCCUUCCAAAAAUUAAAGGAUGCAAAAUUGUGGACAUGACCAAGAAAGGUUAUGACAUACUAAAGGAGGAGCUAAGUAGUAACUCACCUAAGAGACAGCGUAUUCGUUUCACCGGCGAAAUAAGUACAAAAACUGAUCUUGUUGUUAUGCCCUCUAACCAAUCUUGGUGGAGUAAGAAGGUUGAUGAGUUCAGGGAUAAGGUAACUAUGUUACAACUUUCAAGUCUUUCGUAAUUGAGUUGCCUACAAUGUCUCUCCAUUAAGAUAUCUUCUCUACCUUUUCAUUUAGGUUAGACGCCAUCCUGUAUCCAAGAAUUUCGUUAAAUAUAUUGAUCCAGUGAAGACAACGAGCCGAGAUGUACGUUCUACUCCUGUGGUUUUUAUUCUACUUUUUUCUGCCUGCAUUUUGUUCUUUAUUAAGCAUUCUGCAUGUUGCCUCGGGGCCCUUAAAAAAUGUUGGUGUUCUGUGCGCUAAUCCAUGGUCGUGGUUAGAGAAAGUUAAUUUUUCGUCUAUCUUCUGAAUCACCUUUUAUUGGCUUGGUAUUUUACAUGUUUAAUGAAACUGGCAGAUAGUAGAUGACGUGCGGGAUAUAAUUGACAGAAUUGACAACCCCAUUAUUGAUAAAAUACAAAGGUAUGUUUCUCAGUUUCUCUUGUUCUUAGAAUUACCAAGUCACUGAUUAUUGUAAGAGAUGUAAAUAUGUUUGGUGCAAUAUUUGUCUGGUUAUCGUCUAAAUAUCUGUAACAUAUGAUAAAGAUUACUAUGUUAGUCUAUUAAGUCCGGAUACUCCAAAAUUGAAGUGUUGGUUUCAUAUUCGUUUGUUGAAAGAAAGUAUGGACUAAAGAUACGAUUGAGAUAUGUCUUCGGUACUUUGAGAUAUAACUUCUAAAACACGGCUUCAUGUUUUUUGUACAGCCUUAUUUUCAUUAUGUUGUGUGUAGGUGUACCUACUCUUUGUACAUUAGGGAAGAUGAAGAUGUACACGGUCCACUUGAUGGUCCAAUUGAUAUUUAUAUAUAAAAUAGCAAUGUUUUUUUCACAAAUAUAUACAUUUAUGCAAAAUAUGUAUUUUUAUUUUUUUUGAUAAAAUUGUUCCAACAUGUCUAGGACGUUUCAAGAGACAGAUGCUGCACUUACAUAUAGGGAAAUACGUAAACGGGAUCCGUAGGUUCUAACUCCUUUUGUUUUUAUAUUAGUCUUAACAUUUUAUUAUUAUUAUUAUUCUACUUGCUAACAUCAUUUUCUUAUAAUUUGAUCACAUGAGCCAGUAAAUUUUCUUUACCAGACUUUGUGGGAGAAGUGCAGGAGGCAAUAAAACCGGUGCUUAAUGCUUACAUCAAGGUUAGUGAUAUAGGAUCCAUAAAAGGAAUAGAAAAACUGAAUUGUAUUGAUAAAUAAAUUAACUCAACCAGAAAAAUAAUCAGUGUUACAGAGUAGUUUUAAGGAAACUUGAAUGAAAAAUAUAGCAUCUAUACGUUACCUUAUUUUCAAGAUAAGGUAUCUGCACCUUUAUUUUUCAAAUCAGGUUUAUAAACGAUGUCAAACGUGUAUCCAAAAAGCUUAGCUCGGCGCAGUUAUAUUCAUCCGUGGUAGUCACACUAACUGAUUGUUUUAAGCUCUUCCAAUUCGUGCAAACUGAUUUUCAUACAAGCACAUUUAGUUAUAUUUCUCCAGUUAUGCGACCUCUUGUGUGAAUCGCCAAUGCCACAACCAUAAAUUCUUUCAUACAAGCACAUUUAGUUAUAUUUCUCCAAGUCUAAUAGGCUACAGGUCUGCCAUUUUGUGUCAAAAUGGUAGCAAACCCUUGCCCCGACUUUCAAUGAUGAACUCCUAAAUGAAGUCUGGAAAAGCUAGGACAGGAGCAAUAGUAAUCAUCGCUUUUGAGUAAUUCAAAUGCCUCUUGUGUACUUUGAGACUCCAUUUGAACCCCUCCCCUGUGAGCUCGAUUAAUGGCUUAGCUAUCUUACCUAUGUCACUUGUUAAAUGCAAAACCUGAUAUCAAGGAAUAAAACACUAAGAAUAAUUUUUGCAUUAAAUUUAUUUGUUUAUGAAUUGGCUUUUACUUGUAAACAUACAGGGAGAUUUUGAAACAUUGAAGAAGUACUGUGCCCCUCAGCUGAUUGAACGCUGUAAAGCCGAGCAUGGUGCUUAUAAAGAUCGUGGUAUCUUCUAUGAUAACAAGGUGAGAUUAUUACAUUUUUUUUGUCAAUCUUUCUUAUUGCUGUGUUCAAUUAUAUUUUGCUUUUUAAGUUUUAAUAGGUUAGUACUUGAUAGUACCAUAUAACAUAUUGAACACAUAAAACUGUUUUCCAGAACUAAAAUUUGGUAGUUCUAUUUUUAACAAUGAAUUUUCCAUAUACAGAUCCUGCAUAUAUCCGACGCGGAUGUAAGAGAGGUCAAGAUAUUGGAAUCAUCUCCAUUCAUUAUUGUAGUGGUAUUAUAAAUUAUUACUUCCAAAAGUUCAUUGUUAGCUUGCGAGAUUUAUUCGUAUGCGCGGUAGAAAUAAAACUUACCUGAUGGUUUUGUUAAAUGAAUUUUCAGUUUCAAACACAGCAAAUCCAUUGUGUACGUGAUAGGAAUGGGGAAAUUACAGAAGGAGGCAAGGUAAAUGCUGUAUUUUUUACUGCUCAUAGAUAAAUUUUACAGUAAGAAAAUGUUGUUACGUGUUUGCUUACAUAAGAAAAAUCAGAAUCUGUAAACUUAAGAUAUAAUUUUUGACAUCCUUACUCGUUCAAAUAUUUUAGAUGUCACGUUACUUUGCGAUUUUUUGUCAUUUUUUCCGUUAUUCUUGAUAUAAUUUGGGUCCAUUCAGUUAUAUAUGUCGGGGUGGUGACUUUCGUUGUUUGCUCAUGUCUCUUCUACAAUAGAAUCCAUGCAUCAUCAAGUACACUGAACUAUUUCGCCCUCAUCACAACCCACUGCUGUCUGCUCUCGUUUUUAUGGCUUUAGCUUCGAUUUUUGUUCAUGGUUUUCCUUGAUCAUGCCGUCUGUGUCAGUCGGUUUUUCAUGAGGGAGAGCCUUGGCGCAACCGUAACGUUGUUGCCUUGUGACCUACCUGUAGGUCACAGGUCCAAAUCUUAGGAAAAAGUCUAUCCGCUUGUGGAGGUAGGAAUGUGUAUAUCUGCCCUCCUCAGACCCCGCUCAUUGAGAGCCUCGGUGCAACAUAAUUUAGUGUUUAUGUUAUAUUAGUUUCAUGAAGUGAUUAGAACCUUGCAUUUCUUAUUUUACAUGUUAUAUUUUUUUUACUAGGAUACAAUUCACUCUGUAUACUAUCUAUGGGCUUUGCAAAUGGAUUCAGAAGAUCAUGCAGAGGAUGGUAUUUAUCUAAAUUGGAGACUGAGAGAGAUGCAGCAGCAAGGCAUACAAGCUCUGAUCUAGUUUUUAACUUUCUUCCCUUUUUUUAGGGUUUUGAUAUCCAUGUUAUACAUCCUUUUUUAAAUUAUUAUCAUUGUAUUUUUUACUGGUGAUGUUAACAAAAUGACAUGCCGGUAUGUAUUUGUUUAUAUAUAAGAAAUGAGAUAGCUUGCAUGGUAAAUCAUGUUCUAGAUUUGUGCCAGUCUCUCAGAGCACUAGACCAUGCUUUACAAUAUUCAAUUAUCUUAGAUUAUAUAUAUGAAAUUCUAGCGCACUUGUUUUAAUAUGUUCUGUAUGAUGUUUCAGCAUUUGCAAUGUUAAGAUUAAUGUUUCAACAUCAAGCGAUAAACAAAAAUAAAAACAAGAAAAUAAAUGACAGGAAAGUAAAGAAAACAAUGAGUUUGUUGACCCAGUUCGGUGACAAACACACCUACUCUGGGGGCUACCAAGCCAGGAAGGAAAUCCACCAGUGUAGUCCUUAUUCAAUAGCUCUAAGCAAACUCCUCGUUUACACUAUAUGACAUAGGACUUACUCGUAUAGACUUCAACCUAGAAACUCCUAGAUCUGAGAUUCCAUCUCACUAUCCUAAUGGUCAGCCACAGCCCCUGUUACCUAUCAGACCUAAACCAAAACAAAGAUAGAAGUUACCUUCCAACACAAACAACUAGCACCUAGUUUCUCAACUUCGGUGUAGUACAAAGAGUAAUCAAUACUCACACACAGUCCUAACAAGUAUCACAGACGAUACAAGAAAGAACACACAAUAGAUUCUAAACUUGCAUCACAAACGAUACAAGAGCAGAAUACAUGAAGACUCAAACCCUAAAAAUCUAAACUUUUAGAAUGACGGCUUGAAUGAAUAAUUAGGUCUUGAAGUCUUCCUUAUAUAGUGAAGCAGCUUGGAUCACAUAACAUAAAUUUCAAAACAUAAAUUUCAAAACAAACUUUUGAAAGGCUCAACUUCUUUCUAGUUUUAAUAAGCUUCCUCCACUGUAGGUAAUCCAUUUUAGGGCAUGUCAGACACUAAAUAUGAGUAUUUUUUCCAACCGAUAUUUGAACCUUGGCUUAUGCUAGAGCUACACCCAACCCAUGUUAGCUAGGCUAAACUUCCUUUUAGUCCUCCAAAUACUUAUCGUAAUUGUUUGGUAUCACAUUUCUUAAGUGAUUUUGGUUCCAUAACAUUCCCCCCAAUUAUUGAAUAUACAACAAUGAUAACAGAAACAUAGUCAUUUAAGAAGUAAACUAUUGUUGAACAAAAUAGUCCUUUUAUUAAUAAAAAAGAUGAAACAGUUUCUUUCGAUAGGUAUCCAACAAGGACUUAAUGUCUAACACAACAUACAAUUGAUAACCUUAUGGUAUCAACACAACAGAUCCAGAGGUCUUCCUAUUUUCCAAGUCUUCAUGUGCUUUAACUGCCUCAGACAAUGGAUAAGUAUGAUUAACUCUCACUUUCAAGACACCAGAAGCAACAUUAGCAAACACCUCACCAGCAGCCCUCAAGAGCUCGUCGCGAGUGACAACAUAUUGAAAUAGGGUAGGCCUUGUCAAGAACAGAGAUUUUGUAGCCAAGGAAGACAAUGGAACUGGAUCAGGCGAGCCGGAUGACUGUCCGAAACUGACCAUGUGGCCUCUAAGCUUCAAGCAUGCCAAAGAUCCCUGUACAUAUCAUAGAAUAUCAUCAAUGGCUUGGUUUACAUAAACGGAGUAAUUGAGAGCUUAUAGGAUAAGUGUUUACUAUAUAAGCCCUUGAGCAUAAACUAUUUUUAUAACAAAAGAUAGAAUAAAGUCAAAUUGUUUUCAUAUAAGUUAUAAGUUGUUUUCAAAAGCUAUCCUGGAGAGCUAUGAAAAUAAGUUGAAAACAACUUACGAACAUGCAUGUUAUAAGUUAUUUUUAUAAGUUCUCUCAAACAGUUCACAAAUGUUUAUGCCAGUACAUAAGCUCAAAUAAGCAAAUCCAACCAGACUCUAAGUCUAUCUAUCGUGAGAAAAGUCUUUUCCUAAUGACACUUAAGAAUAGUCUUUCUGUAAUGACAUGCAACAGAACUUAAGAUCUCUAAUUCCCACAUUUUUCUUUCUCAAUUUCGUGAAAAAGCACAAAAUCUUUACCAGUAAGCUGCCAAAUUUCUAAUACAUUAUUAAUCUGACAACAAUCCUUAAACUUCUGGGCCCCAAUCUAGGCCCGUUCAUGGUUCUCAAAUAGAUAUCAUAUCAUAUCAGAAGGAGCACAUAAAGAACCAGAAAAGAAGCAACUUUCAAUGAUGCUUCCAUGCAAGAGUAUAAAUUUAUUAAUUUUAACUUUUCCAUUCAAGUAACCAACCAUUUGAAUUGGAAAUUUUAUUAAGGUGUAGUAUAGAAUAGAAUAGGUACACUACCUCAAAGGUAUCCUUUCCGACGGAAUCGUAGACAACUUCAACUCCACCGCCUGACGUAAUCUCAUUGACGCGGGCGACAAAAUCCUCUUCUUUAUAUAUUAUAACAUGAUGGCAGCCAUCCUCCUUGGCUUGAGCUGCUUUCUCUUUAUUGGACACAGUUCCUAUAACAGUUGCACCAAGAGCAUUAGCCCAUUGGCACAAUAAGGAUCCAACUCCACCAGCUGCAGCAUGGACAAGAACUGUGUGACUGGGUUCAACCUGCAAACCGAAAAACAAAAAUACUAAUAACAAUCUAGAUUAGCAUGCUAACGAAAAUUCUUAGAAUUUAAGUUUGGUAUAACUCAACCUACGAAAUCGGCUUGUAAGGUGUGGCAUGCCUCUCACUUGUAAACUCAUUUUUAGGCCAUAUCAAAUCAAAUGUGAGACUCCCCCUACGCACAUUUAGAAUGCAACCUGAUAGCGCAUGGCCCAACAAAUUUUAGAUAGGCUCUGAUACAUCUUAAAAUUUGAGUUGAGCCAAAUGCAUCCUUACAAAACCGGUUUGUAAGGUGAGAGAUGUCUUCUAUUUAUACACUCAUUUCUAAAUCACAUUUUAUCUAAUGUGAGACUAUAACAAAGUUCAAAGCAAAAAGGCUUCGUUCAAAUAUGAUAAUAAAGUUAAUUUAUAGUAGUAACCAACCUUGAAGCAACUUCGGAGCAAAAAUUGCGCUGUCAUGCCCUUCAGCAAGAUGGAUGCUGCAACAGCUGGGUCAAUGGAAGAAGGGAUAGGAACUACUUUGUUUGCAGGAAGAAUCUGCUCUUCAGCAUAUGAGCCCAUUGGUUGACCAGCGUAACCUACAAGAUCUCCAACCUGUAUACCAGUGGGUCCAGAACCCACUGCGGUCACAAUGCCAACAGCUUCCAUACCUGCCACAUCAAAUGAGGAAAAGAACUCGCUCAAUACAUGAUACCUUGGCAUGAGAUACAUUGCAAUGAAAUGUUAAGAAAUUCAUCAGCAGUGCCCGUGUUCAAUAGCAUAUAAAGAGCCGUUAUUGAUAAACUUGUUAACAAGCACUCAUGAAAAAAUAAAUAAAUUUUACAAGAAUGUUACAAUGAGUAAUAAAGUGAUCAUUUUAUCAAAUUACAUGAGUUAUAUCAAUAUAGACAGGGACUUUAGUUAAGAACAAAGUUGACUUUAGGAGUUGCCACUGAAAAUUUAUGAGUGACAUUGAAGGAAUGUCCACCAAAGAUCAUCUUAUAAGUACGUAUGUGUACUCAAAGAUGAAAUUAAGAUCAAAGUCUGAGUCUUCUUCAAAAAGACUAAAGUCUGAGUGAAUCACAAUUUUGGUUCUCAGAUUAGACUAUUCGGUCUCUCAAAAUUGGCAAACCAGUUUUUAAAAUUGAAGCUCGUCAAUCAAUUAAAAUAUGCUCGAACUCAACAUUUCUGAAGCUGUUAGAAGACAGGUGAUUGAAUUGAUUGCAACUUUCAAAUUCGACAACUAAUUUGCUAUUUCACAAAUUCGGGACCAAUUUUCCGUGUCUCUAAUGAUGACUAACUCAUUAAAGUUUCUAUAUUAGCAUUUACUUUUCAUAAUCUAUCUCAGAUAGUUUAUUGAAAUAACCUAAAAAAAAACCUUACAUAUUUUUUUUUGGAACUCAGUAUAUGGCCAAAAAAACCGACAAAUCCACGGAACCAAUCCCACCAUUCACUAGCGGGGGGCCCCAACUGAAGCCAGAGCAAAACGACUAGCCCAACACAGUACAAACACACUCAAACAAGUGCUUAUACUUUAAGAUAAAGGGUAUCUUUGCAUUGACUUAUUUGAGCUUAUAAACAUAAACACUUUGUACAACUUUUUGGGAGAACUUAUGUUCAUAAGAUGCAAAACAGCUUAUUUUCAUAAGCUCUCCAAGAUAACUUAUGAAAUAGCUUACAUAUAAGUGCUUAUCACGAUAAAUGCAGCACUUAUGCUAUAAGCUACAAAUCCAAACAGGGCCUAACUAAAAUAAUCAAUAAACAGAUCAUUCAAAACACAAACAAAUAACAUACAAUUUUCCUUAAUUCAACAAAACAAAUAACACAAUUCACUAGAGAAUGAUUAUUAAACCUGGAGUAAAAGGUGAAGAAGGAGCAUUAUAAACCCCUUUACGAAAAUAAACAUCAAUAAAAUUAACACCAAUAGCUUUAUUCUUCACACGAACUUCUCCUUCUUUAGGUUCACCAAUUUCAACAUCUUCCCAUUUCAUAACCUAUGUCACGUGAUCAUGUCAAUACAAGUCACGUGAGAAAACAAAAAACAUAAGACAAAUAGAAAAAACAAAACAUCAUAGUUUUUUUACCUGUGGCCCACCAAGUUCAUGAACUCGAAUAGCUUUCACCAUUUCUGAGGAUGUUGAAAAUGAUUUUGUUAUGUGUGAUGAUGAUUUUGAAGUGAUGAUUUUGGUCAAAGGGGUUGUUGGUUUUUGUAGUAGAGAGUGAUGAAGAAGAAGGUUGUGGUGUUUGAACAACAAUGAUGACAAACGCAAUGACAUUUGUUUUGUCCUAUGGUUUUGGUUUUAUGUUACAAAUGCGAUGUGAAUGAAUGUGGACGGUCUAGAUAGGAACAAAGUCCGGCUUUGCUAUUUUUUUCUCUAUACUUCAUUUAUACAAGAGUGAUGAACAUAGGGUCGUCACGUGCACUUGUUAAGGAUUAAAAAGAAUGAAAACAAUGCAUAAUUUUUAUACAAAAAAAAAUAUUUUUUGAUGUUUUAAUGUGUUGAACACACGAAUUCUAAGAUAAAGUUUUCAUUUUAAACUUCUUAUCGAAUGCUCUUAAGGCAUCAUACUUAUACUUAUAUCUAAUCCUAAUUAACAUUGCAAUGACCACUCUAAACCCUAAACCUAAUUAUUUAGGUGCCAAAGAAUCCAGGAUGUUGGAUCGCUGUCACUAGGCGCGGUUAACAUAUCAUCCCUUGAUCAAAUCUGACUAAUGGCUUGCACGCAUUACAACAGUGGAUUCAAAUUCUGAAUUUCCCCAUGCCUUAUGAAACUAAAUGCCAUUUGUGACGGCUUUCCACCUUUCCGGAUUACAUUAAAUGGUGUUAUACUUUCUCAUGCAUUUGUUCCCCCCAAUGUAAAGUGAUUAAUUGACAUAUGGUAUCUGAUUCACUUUAUAUAUACUUGAUUCACUUUAUUCAUAUCGUAUCUUUUCAAAUCCCAUCGUCUGCACAAAAACAUGGCCAACAACGACAUACAAUGAACGCAUUACAACAGUGAAUUCAAAUUCUGAAUUCCCCCAUGCCCUAUGAAACUAAAUGCCAUUUGUGACGGCUUUGCACCUUUCUAGAUUACAUUAAAUGGUGUUAUACUUUCUCAUCCAUUUCUUCCCCCCCAAUGUAAAGUGAUUAAUUGACAUAUGGUAUAUGAUUCACUUUAUAUAUACUUGAUUCACUUUAUUCAUAUCGCAUCUUUUCAAAUCCCAUCGUCUGCACAAAAACAUGGCCAACAACGACAUACAAGCUUUGCUUUCGUACCAUGCUUUGACGGGUAUGAGAUGAGAGACCCCUUUAUUUUGCUAUACUUACUGUAUUGUAUACUACAUCUUCCUAAUACUGAUUAUUUCUUUAUGUUUUGUUACCAGCAUCUUUGAACCCAAAUCCAACGUACGAAUUGGAAAAGAUCGUCAACGAUCUUCGUAUCAAGUACAUAACCUAUGUCGUUGAGUUUGAUGUUGAACACGUGAGUCAUGCUUUCUUCAUGUAUUUGUUGUUGCCAUCGUUGCGAAAUUCAUUUAUUAACAUUUUGUUUCUUCUUUUAUUGACUAUUAGGGCAUGGUUGUUUCGCUAAGAAUCUUUGGUCAUGACUUUGGGGGCCAAAUUGGACGCUACGCAAGGUUGGUGGAUUCUAACUAUAAUGAGUUCGAGGUUUUGGUCGAGAGGAACAAUGACCACAUUUACUUGACAACGGGUUGGCAUGCCCUCAAGGACUUUUACAAUGUUUCUCUCGGAUCUUGGGUGACUAUGGUUUUUGUCGAUAUGGGCAAGUUUGGUAUCCACAUGAAGGAUAGGUUUGGGAGGAAGAUAUCUACUCCUAAGUUUACCCCUCGCUCCCAUGAAGUUUAAGCUUGGGAAGAAAGUCCUUCCUUUCCAUAAAUUUGAUGUCUUGUCGUCCCCUUUUGUGCAUGAUGACUUUAAUUUUGAAUUUUCUUAUGAGAAGAUAUUGACCUUUGAUGAAUAUGAUGUUGGCUGUGUGGUGAGUAUUAAUUUUCUUUACUAUUGGUAUUCGAAUUUCAUCAUAUAUCAGCUAUCAAGUUACGCGUGUGGGAAUGCACUUUGAUGUAUAGGACUACUUCAUAUGCUCAUUUCAAAAUUGGAGGUGGAUAGAAAAGAACAAUUCUUGCUCGCAGAUUUCGUCAAGGUUCCCGCAUAAUGCCUGGUGCAUCGUGUAGCAAUCCGUUUUUAGCUAGAAUUAUUUUAUUUAUUAUGUGUGUUUAUGUGUAUUUAAUUGUUUUUGUGCGUAUUUGAUUUGGUUAUAGUGGAUUUUUGGCCUAGAAGGGUAUUUUAGUCAUUUUUAGUGAGAAUAGUUAUUUUUACUAUUUCUUAGGUGAUAUUUGAAAUUUUAUACAUUUAGAUUUGGCAAAAUAAAUUUUCUAUUUGAUAUACUAUAAAUAUUUUAUUUUCUUUAUAUAUAUUUUCUCAAAAAAUAAAAGGUUUGUCAUGAUUUACAAGUGAUUCUGUUGGAUAUUUGUGUAUUGACUUCUCAUUAUUGCUAAAACAAAUAUUCAUUUAUGAUGUUGGAUAUGAUGUUCCAACAUCUUGGCACGGUUCAGUGUGCCAUGUUUAUUUGCCUAGCUAUACGCACACUUUAUCUUAUUAAGGCAUCCACGCCUUAAUUCUUGUUAACCAAGUAACGCGUUUUUGUCCAGAAUCAGCUGAGUGAUUUGUUCCUAAAAUAUAGACAAUAUUUUAGGAAUCUUUGGUGGUGUUUUGGUAGUUCCUAAAGAUGUUCCUACUUUUUAGAGUUGCUAUAUUUGUUACUGAUUUGUUACGUGGAUCAACUUUUGGAUCUACAUUGUUCUGAAGCCCAACAAGACUAUUUAGCCCGUAUUGCUUCAGUAUAUAUUGCGGAGUGCAAAACUUAAUUUAUUCAUUCAAGUCGUCAUAUCAAGAAUAGAGUUUUUAGGGUUUUGAGUCUUUGUUAUUUGUGAGCCUUUUCUUGUAUCACUUUGAUACAUGAUAAGGACUGAGUUUUUGUUUUUGUUAAUUGUGAGCCUUUCUUGUAUUAUCUUGAUGCAAGCAUAGGACUGUUUUAUUGAGUUGUAAGCUGUUGCUACUCCUAAGCUUUGAAUCACGAAGGUAGUUUGUCUUUGAAGAUAACUUCACAAUAUUGAGCUGUAGUCUGAUAAUCACAGGGGAUGUGAUUGAUUGACGGAAGUGAGAUGAGAUCUCAGAUCUAGGAGUUCCUAGGUUGAAGUCAAGACGGGUAGGUCCUAGGUCUAGAGUUGUAAACUUGGAGUUUGCUGAGAACUUAGAAUAAGGACUACACUGGUGGAUUUCCUUCCUGGCUUGGUAGCCCUAGAGUAGGUGUGUUUGUCACCGAACUAGGUUAACAAUCCUCCUGUGCACUUUACUUUCUUGUCUUUUACGUUUGUAUUGUUUUAUUUAUUUCUGUUAGCACGAUGUUCCUAAACAUUACAUUCAUCAUUCGUAUUUUCUGUCUGGUGUUGGAACAUCACAUAGAACAUGUGAAAGCUACCAGAUUCGAUAACCCUCCAAAUCUCAUAUGUGCAUAUGUACAAGUUAUUAAACUAGUUAUGCAUUUGUAUCCAAAUCUCAUAUUUGACAAAUCUUUUCAUUGCCAAAUUUAGAGGUACUAAAUGUUUUAGCUAUGCGGAAGGGUUGAAAUUUACAAAAACAUGUUUUUUUUUUAAUCUUAUAACAGAAUCAGAUGCUUUUAAUGUGCCCCUGACUUUAAACGCUCAUCAACAAUCUCCCACCUAUGUAAAAUCUAUUAAUGGGGAGUGUACUAAUUUUCAUGUCUGUUUUUAUGGUUUUUUUUUCUUUUCUGAGACCAAUAAAAUUGCCCAUUAUUUAGCUUAAUAAUCCAAAUUGUAUGAAGAGACUUCGACUUAUAUUUAUGUAAUAUUGAUAUUUGAUUUAUGGUCAUCCUUUAGUUAAUUGAAUUAUCUUUAACAUAAAAAAAAAAAAAAAAAGAUCAAGCUCAAAUUACAAAUGUUUCAUUUUAUUUUGGUGUGCGUAUAGGUUGCAAUCUAUUUUAUUUUGGGUGUAAAUCGGAUACGUGCAUAACUGCGGAGACUAUUCCUUCGAGUAUUAUGGAACUUAAAUGGGCGGCAAGCUCUCCUUAAGUUUUAACGCUGCCACAUGCUCAAGUUGGAUUCGAACACAAGACCUUGGUUAAGUUAUAAGAGACCCGUUCCAUCUCAUCUAAGCACUCUUGGAUAGGUUGCAAUCUAUUUGUUUCGAUGCAUCUACUUCUAUUAAAAUUAAGUAAUUAACUAAUAUAAUAAUUAGCAGUAAGCCUUGGCUAAAGUAAAGGAGGAAAGAGCAUAAAGGACAAAUGUUUUGUUAUUACUAUUCUUCCACCAAUAUUUUAGGAUCAGAAACAUGAACCUGAAGACCCUCGUAUGCAAAAUUAUUUUUGUUAGAUCUUAGAAUUUCAUAUCAUUAAUCACCUCUCUAACAUAUUGAUUUCUGACAAACACAAAACAAAAGUACAAUGUCGUCAAUGGAUGACGCUCAAGACAUGUUUUGUAACGAUGAUCUUGUUAACCCUCUAAGUUCUAUGGGUAUGCAAGUGUCAUGCAUUCUUGUUGUGUCACACUUCUUCAACGUUGUUCUUAGGACUAUGGGCCAACCUGGACCCAUUGCACAAAUUCUGGUAAUCAUAAAACCACUUCUUUUUUUUUAUAUAUUUUUUGCUUCAUUCGUUAUAUUCUAAAUUAUUUAAAAUUUAAUUGUUACGCACUUACAAAUGAUAUAGAUAUAGUUUUAAAUUGCGGUAUGCAACGAAAAUUUUGAAUGCAUCAACUAUAUUUUCUUGCAUUUUACUGCAAUAUUAAAAGGGGUUCGCAACAUAAUUGCAACUGCAACCACAAUUUAAAAUCGUGACCGCUAACCUGAUGUCAUGAAACCCUAAUUGUGUUCGAUUGUUAAUGUUACUAUAAAUAUUGAUUUGAAAGUUUCAUUAUAAUUAAUUAACUAAUUAUUGGUUUAUAUUGCAUUGUUGAAACAGGCUGGGUUGAUAUUAGGUCCAAUGUCUCAUAUUCCAUAUAUAAAAGAGACAUUCUUUCCAGCCAGUUCCAUAAAUUACUAUCAAGUAGUGAGCUUCUUUUGUCGCAUAAAUUUCAUGUUUUUAUUUGGCUUGGAAAUGAAUAUUCACUACACAUUGCGCCAUUGGAAAAUGGUAACCUUAGUAGCAUGUGGAGGUGCCCUAAUGGGUGGUAUAAUUGGUCUAUCUGUCUCAUUUUAUUUGCAUCAAGAGUUAACUGAUGAUACUAAUCCCAACUAUUACUUUUAUAUGACCAUUAUGCUAAUGGUAUCAUACACAAGCUCCCCCAUGGUGAUUCGUUUGACGGCGGAGUUACGAUUUGCUGCAUCCGAUAUCGGGCGAAUCGCGGUGUCUUCAGCGUUGAUUACAGAAAUGGCUUGCUUAUUGUUCUUCAAUGUGAUAGUUAGUUGGGAAAAAGAAUACCACAUUUUGUAUGGUUUUUAUUGUGCUAUCACUAUAAUAAUAGUGGUUCUAAUUAACAAGUACUUAGCCGUUUGGUUAAACUCAAGAAAUAGAAACCAAAAAUACCUAAAAGCUACUGAACUAUUACUAAUACUUUUUUUGCUUCUAACUAGCUCAAUAGUUAUAGAAAUUUUUGGCUACAAUAGUAUUAUUAGUUGUUUCAUUAUUGGAUUAUUGUUUCCUAAGGAAGGUAAAACAGCUAGAACAUUGCUACAAAAACUUGGUUAUUCAAUUUAUAACUUUGUCCUUCCAGUAUACUUUGGAUAUUUGGGAUUACAAUGUGACCUCAUAAAUGUGUUUACAAGACUGAAUCGAACAGCCAAUGUAGCCAUAUUGAUCUUGUUGAGCAUUGGUAGCAAACUCGGCGGAACUCUUAUAGUUUGUCGUUACCUUCAUAUUCCUACAAAUGAAGGGAUUUUUCUUGGCUUCAUGUUGAACACUAGAGGAUAUGCUGAUUUGUUAUUCAUUGGUGCAGCAGCAAAGCAAAUCACUGUGAGUACAUUUCUCGCCUUGAUUUAUGAUAGAAUGUUAUAGCGUAAUUUGAUCCAGAUAGCCAACCCGACUUGAUGGGUUGAGACUAUGUUGUUAAUAUCAACUAUUUUGAAUUAGAAUGAUCUAAUAUGUAUGUAAUGUGUACUAAUUCAUGUUUCUUCUUUUGUUGAUUUACAUUUACAGAGUUUUGAUGCCGAAUCUUACAAUGUGUUGCUAGUAUCGAUAGUAUUAAACACAAUAAUAUCAGGAAUAAUUGUGUCGUUUAUAGCAAAGGGGGAAGAGAAAAUGUUUUCAAACAACCAUACAACAAUUGAACCACAAGAAAUGGAAGAUGAACUUAAAAUUUUGGCUUGUGUGUAUGAUCCUCGACAAGUAUCUGCGAUACUAGCCACAAUACUAGCAAUACAUGGCUCUAAAACAUCACCUUCCACCACUUAUUUAAUGCACUUAAUAGAGCUUGUGAAGAAAAUCAAGUCAAACUUGUUAUACCAUGAAAAAGAAAAUGGCGAUAUCAGCGAUGAUGACGAAGCCUUUGGUGGAAAUGAUGUGGUGGACAUUAAUAAUGCCCUAGAUACCUUCACUGAAGACACAAAGAUUUUGGUCCAACAAAAAAGGACAGUUUCUUCUUUUCUAAGUCUGUAUGAAGAAGUGUGCAGCGAAGCAGAAAAUCUUCAAGUAUCGAUUAUUCUUCUUCCCUUUCACAAGCAUCAACGAAUCGAUGGAAAACUUGAAAGCGGAAAAGAAGGUAUAAGGAUUACUAAUCAGAAGGUUCUUAGGCAUGCACCUUGUUCUGUCGGUGUAAUUAUAGAAAGAGGACUUACUACAUCAUUUGGUUUCUCGGAACUAAUAGAAUCUGAAACCAUUCAAAAUGUUGCAACACUUUUUUUUGGAGGGCCGGAUGACCGCGAGGCUGUUGCUUGGAGCCUACGCAUUUCAAAAUGCCCUCGAAUUAACUUGACAAUCAUUAGAUUUUUGUUGUCGUCUAAAUUAGAAAAUGAACAAAUUGAUAAAAGUGGAGUACAAUCUAAGGAAAAAGAGAUUUUAAUGUCGUUGUCCGGGGAAGAGACUGCGAAUGAUGAGAUUGACAAUAACUUCAUGGUUGAUUUUUAUAACAGGCAUGUCGCUUCGGGAAAAAUUGGAUAUGUAGAAAAUUUUGUGAAGAAUGGAAGACAAACAGUUGAAUGUUUGAAAGAGAUUGGUGACAUAUACUCUUUGUUUAUAGUUGGAAAGGGUGGUAGAGGAAAUAGUUCACUAACAAUAGAUAUGAGUGAUUGGGAGGAAUGUCCAGAACUUGGAUCAGUUGGUGAUAUUUUAGCUUCUUCAGAUUUUGAUAUUCAUGGUUCUGUGUUGGUCAUUCAACAACAUAGAGAUGUCAAGAAAGGUCUAAUACAUGAUUAACAUUUAAAUACAAUAGAGUUAGACUUCUUCAUGUACUUAGCUUUAUGAACAUAAGGUGUAUAGAUGAAACUUUUUUUUUUCCCUUAACAUUGUGUUAAACAAAAAAUUAACAAGCACAACAUUUCAUCUAGUCCAAAAAAAAGCAUACAAUUUAAUCGUAAUUUUUUAUUCACAUUUAGUCUAAAUUACAAACCAUAUUGUUUAUCUUUUGGGAAUGAGAACCAAAAUUCAGGUUUAAUUAAUGAUUUGAUCCUUUAAAUUAUUUGCUGGUUACAUUUUGGUCCCAUAAAUUAUUAACGUUACAAUUUGAUGCCUUAAGUUAUUUACAAUUUGGAUGGGUUUAUCAAGAUUGAUCCAAUAAUCAUGAAUUAUUCAAUCAAGUUUUUCUCAUUGAGGGUAUUGUCACUAAGGCGAGUACUUUUUGAAUAGACAAGUGGUUUCUUGAAUUGUUUCCGAAAUUCCCUUUUCUUGAGAGUUUUAUUUUAAAUUCUUGUGACAUGCCUGAAAAGAUUGAUAUUUCAAGAGGUUGGAGUUUUGGCGUUGCGAUAACUUAAAGGAGGUUAAUAUUGAUUCUUCAACCUCUUAAGUCGAACACUUGAAAUAGCAAAUAAGAAGACCUUAAGUCAACUGAAAAAUUCUACAAUAUCUUUUACAAUGUUUUGUACAGUCAAAUGUCACGAGGGUUUAAAUAGUAAAUAAUCUCUAAAUUACAAUGUUGAAAUCCAAUUUUUUUUAGAGGGUGUAAACCGGAAGUCGCUCAAAUGAAAAGGGGUAAAAGUGCAUUUAUCUCCAAAAUGUUUAUAAUUAAUGUUUUCUGUGGCUUGUGAGUUCUAACUCUAUUUUGUUUAUCAUCUAAAACUACAGUUUUUUUAUGAGACGCUAAUGGGAAAAAAAGAGAACGAUUGCUUUUGCAUUUCUACUGAAACUAAGUGUUGGUGGCAUGGCUUGAAGGAUGUGAAAGUCAUAAGCUCUAAGAAGAUUGAUGAGAAUGUUUGUUUUAACACAAUUUUAGAUUCGUCGCCAGCUUAUGCACCAGCUUAUCCAGAUCAAACAAAUAUUACCUUCAAGCUAGAAUUUUAAUUUUGUUUAGAAGUUUAAUAUUACCUCUUGAAAAGAGGUACAUUAUUUUUUGUUGAAAAAUGUUGAAAAGAGGUACUAUUAACUUAUAACGUACAGGGCUUUAAUGUGUUUCGUCCCUAUAAUUAAGGGUCAUUUAAAAAUUAGUCACUGUAAUCGUUAAUUCUGACAAAUUAUCCUUAUAAAAUUUAAUCAUUUAAAAUUUACCCACUUAAUGACUGCCACGUCAUCAAAUUAUAAAAUACAGGAAUGUGCCUUCUUUUUUUCAUCGUAGAUGAAUAUGAUUUCUAAGAAUUUGUUUACUUGCUCUCUAAUGAGUAUGUGGUUAAAAAAAUGUGAUGAAGUGAUAAGUGCUCUCUAGUGAGUAUGUGAUUGUUAUACUUGUAUUUAGAUUUGUUGAUCUAUGGCAUAUGCAGUUUGCUGAUAUAGGUAGUGCUAUUAGGUGAAGAGUGUUUUUCUUUCAAUUGUUUGGGAUGUGUGUGAUGAAGCUAUCUGUUCAUGCUAAGUUGAAUGGUUUUUUAUUAAUAAAGUGAUUAUCUAUUUAUUAAAUAGAGAAUCAAAAUCGUUCAUGAACUUUUGGAUCCUAUAGUAAUACUUCAUUGAAUUAAUUGUAUCAUAAGCACUUGGCUUAGAAUCCAAGUAUUGAUAUUACAAACCAAGGUUCAAGAUUUCUACAACUGAUUGAUAAUUCAGGCUAAAUUGAAAGAUCAUCAAGUUCUUCACACUCUUGUACAAAUGGAUGAUACAGGUACAUACUUCAUUUAUUUUGAGAGCCAUGUCAUUAAUGUCCACGAAAGGGUCAAUGGAAGUCCAAUGGGUAUACUAGAAAAAAUGAAUCACUAGAGCCAACACGUUAAGAGAACCCAUCUUUGAAAUUAUUCUUAGCUUUAAUUAAUAAUAAAAUUUUAAGGAUACAAGCACCUUAAGAUGUACGAUUUCUGCUCUCCUCCUGCACUUUUCGCUCACAACCAGCUGAAAAUACUAUAAUGCCCUUGUGCUAGUUAGUGGCUACUUUUAUUUAAUUUAUUUACUAAUAUUCAAAUUAUUUUAUUUACUUUAUUCUAAAUGAUUUUGUUUACUUUACUCUAAAUUAUUUGUUCACUUUAUUCUAAAUUAUUUAUUUUCUAAAUUAUUUGUUCGCUUUAUUCUAAAUUUUAUUUGCUAUAUUCUAAUUUAUUUAUGAACUUAAAAUAAAUUCAAAAUUAGAAAAUAAGUUCUAAUUUAUUUAUGCACUUAAAAUAAAUUUAAAAUUAGAAAAUAAAUUCAAAUUUAUUUAUACAAUAUUUAUUUAUUCAAUACAUAAUAAAUUCAUCAUGGUAAGCUUAGCUCAGUUGGUAUGGACAAUGCAUAAUAUAUGUAAGGUUAAAAAAUUUAGCCCAAAAUCCCUAUAUACAUUAUAGAUAAUACUAUUUGUAUUGUAGUGGGAUAAUCAUUUUUAAUGUGAUUUAAUUUUUUUAAUUAACAUUCAAAUAAUACAUAAAAUAUAAAAAAAACUAACCUUUUAAACAUUUUUGGUUGGACUUUUCUUUCUUUGUGUCUCUAAAUUUUGAUCGGUUGUGUUCUUUGCACUCCUUGUGCAUGGAGCUUCACUGUUGUUAAUAUAUAUAUAUAUAUAUAUAUAUAUAUAUAUAUAUAUAUACCAUUUUGAUUUGUGCUAAAAAAAUCUACAAAAGAUGCGGUGCAAACAUUGAACGGUGUUUUGCAUAUAAAAUAAAAAGUUAUUCAAUAGAAACACUAUAUUAAUGUUUAUAUUUUGACAAUAUAUAUUAACAAGUUUCCGCAAUUUUAUUAUAUCAGUUUUCUCAUAUAUUUACAUAAAAUUUGUUUAUACAUAUAAAACACAUAAAAUUUUCAACGGAUGCCGAUGCAAACAUUAAACAUGCGAAUGAAGAAUCUUUGUUUAUAAGAAAGAAAAAAAAAAAAGUGAGUUAAAAGACAAAAGAAGUGCCGUUAUAAUUUUGUUGUUACUUGAUUCGAUCUAACGACUUUGUCAGAGCAGUCCUAUUCUUAAUCCAUAUCUCUCUAAACUCUUCUUCUCUUCUGUCGCACUCUUUCUCUUUCUCUCUCUAACUCUACUUUCCACUCAAUCGAACAAGGUACAAUUUUUUUAUCGGAUUCUCUCUAAUUUUUUUCAUUCAUUCAUUUGUUAUAGUUUAGUUAACAAUUGUUGUUCAUAUUUUCUGUAUUUCAAUUUAAUUUUAUGGUCAAGGUUGACUAUUUUUUUGUUGAAAUUAAAAAAUAAAUUAUUAAUUUUAUGAUUGAUGAUUUUGUUGAAAUUCAUAUUGAUAAUUGAUAACUAAUUUUAUUUUAUUUUGAUUUAUUUAGAGAUUAUGGCAUGUUUAGAUUGACUUAUUUGAGCUUAUAAGACUGUUUGAUAGAGCUUAUAUGACAUGUUCAUAAACUGUUUUCAGCUUAUUUUUGUUAAUUCUCCAGGAUAGCUUACGGCUUAUUGCGUAGAUGAAAAUUGUUUGAGUUUUUGUUAUAGAAGUAGCUUAUACAUCAUAAACACACUUGUCAUGAUAAGUGCUUAAGCUGUAAGCUGCAAAUUAAGUUGUUUAUCCAGACAUGGUCAUUGUUUGAUUGAAUUAUGUGAGCUUAUCUAUAGGCAUAAAUACUUUUGAGAGUGUUUGAGAGAGCUUAUGGAAACUGCUUUUAUGAGCAGUUUUCAACUUAUCUUCAUAAGCUCUUCAUGAUAGCUUAUGAAGACAAAUUAUAACUUAUAUGUAAACAAUUUUACAAUAUUUUAGUUUUUGUUAUAGAAAUAGCUUAAUCAAAAGCACUUAAAUGGAAGUGUGUGCUUACGCUGUAAGUGCUUAAUUAAAUAGUUUAUUUGAACAGGAUCUUAAUGGCCAAUAUAAUGUCCGUGUAAACCAGUUUUCCACGGACAUCUUAUAAGAGACCACCGUUUUUUCAUAUCCUACCAUAAAUUUCAAAAUACCCUUACAAAAGUUGGGUGAUGUCACUGGUUUAUAUUGAAAGUGCAUAUUCUUUAAAUCCUUUUAUUUUAUGAAUUUUAUAAACAGAAGUUUGUUUAAGUGAAUUCAUGAUGAUGACUAUAGUUUUUUGAAUCACUCUUCUCAACUAACUUGUCUUUAAUGGCGCUUUAUUUCUAUACAGAAUCGAGUUUCAAUUCAACUGAUUCCGUUAUCGAGUUGUUUUUGUAACUAGCUUCUGAUUCAAUGCCUUCUGUAAUCUCACCUCAGUGGCAAGAUAAGGCGAGUGGUUUCUUUUCUUCCUCAGGUACCUUUCACUAAAUCUGUGCACAUUUUUGCUUUUCUUUUUCUUGUUUACUGUAUGAUAGUUGUUUGUGUCUAUGUUUGUUCAAAUAUAAAUUCAAUGUAGGGGUCAAGCUUAAAGAAGCUAAGGAAUCAGCGGGAACAUUUGUUGGCGAGGUCACGAAGGAUACAAAGAGUAAUGUAGCUGAAGUGGCGGGAAAAGUUGGGACAAUAGUCAAAAGUCGGUGGGCACGUCUUCAGGAGCCGUCUACAAGACAUGCUGUGCAAGACCGAAUGAUAUCUGCUGCUGCUACAACUGGUGCAUUCCUAAGGAGAGGCUUGUCAGGAACAAAAGAAAAGGUGGUUGUGGGGAAAUCCAAGGUUGAAGAGGUAAUGUGGUCGUGUAAAUGAUUUUUGGCGAAUUGUGACAUUUAUUUACUAGUCUUACACCAAGUUAGCACUAAUUAUAUUUUUGUUGUUCCAAUUUGAUGCUCAGAUUCUUUAUUUUUUCUUUCUUUUAUUUGGCCUCGUUAUCAUUUGUUUCAGGUGGCAAAAAUAACGGCACAAAAAAGUAAGACUAUCUUGACAGACAUUGAAAGAUGGCAAAAGGUAUAUGACAAUUGGAAAAUUGUGUGACAUUUAUUUACCAGUAUAGAUCAUUCUAAAAAAUUCUUACUAUUUCCUUUUUUUCUGUAGGGAGUUGCUAAAACUGACGGUAAGUUUCUCAAACCACAUAAUUGAACAAGUGAGUAUUUAUUUGACGGAAAUGGGACUGAAUAUGUAGAACUAUCCAGUGUUUUUUGUUAUCUAUGUAGAAGUAGUUCCGUUGAUCUAACAAGGGAUCUUACGAUGAAUUCCAUUUUGACACACUGUUAUGCAUAGCAUACUUUUCUUCGAUGUAGAUUUUUACUUUAAUUAAAAAUUGGUGUCUUCCUGCAUUCUAGUAGUUAACCGUUCAUCAUCUUGACCUCAGUAUUUGGAGUUCCGAUUGAGAUUACUGUACAGAGGCAAGAUUGCAGCAAGCCUAUUCCUCAGAUACUAGUCAAUUGUGCAGAUUACCUUAUAGUUUCAGGUAGCUUUUUUUAGAGUAAGGUUCUAUAUCCAUGUAUCAGUCUAUGUUUCUUUCUUUUUCUGAUUGUUUAAUUCAAAUCCUGUAGUAAUUCCACGGUUGUAAUCAUAUGUAGGAUUGAAUCUGCCAUAUCUUUUUAAAUCUGAAGGGGACAAAAAGGUUAUUCAGCAGUUGGUUGCCCUAUACAACCAAGGUAUAUCGAUCAUUCUUUCAGUAAUUGAUAGAUUAUAUCAUUAAAGUUAGACAGUGCUAUAUUUGGUUAUAAAGUUGUAUGUUGCAGAUUCAACUGCUGCGGUGCCAGAAGGCUCAAAUCCAGUUGAUGUAGCAGCUCUUGUAAAAUACUAUCUUGCUAGCCUUCCUGAGCCACUGACCACAUUGGAGCUUUAUAAUGAGAUCAAAGGUGCUCGAACCAACAUAUAUUCCAUGAGAAACAUACUUAAGAGGCUUUCCAGUGUGAACUAUAUGACUCUGGAGUUUAUAACCGCACUUUUGCUCCGUGCUAGUCAGAAGUCACUUCUCAAUAAGGUAAGCGACUUCUGUAAGUGAGUGUGAAUAAUUGCUUCGUGGAAGUGGGAUUGGGUUUCGUAUAUGGAUGAGCGCUAUUUUUACUAUUUAAUAAAUAUGUAUGGUGGAUUCUUUUGGCCCAAAUCUCGUCAUUCUUGGAUACACAUUUCCUUUCCUAAAACCUAAUUAAGUAAUUAACUUUUUUUUGCUUGGUAUUUAGCUUUUAACCCAUGUCAAAAGUAAAUUGAAUCUAUGCAUUUCUUUUGUUGUUUGGAAAUCUGUAUUGUCAUUUGAAUUGUUCAUUUCUUUUAAGACAUUUGAUUUGUUUUCAUAUGUUAGGUCAUGUAUUUAACAAAAUUGGUUUUGACGGUUAUGAUUUCUGAACCGUUUUGUACACUUAAUUUUCUCACUUGUAGUCUGACACUUGUGUGAGUCAUGUUGUUUUCUCAAGUUGUGUUUAGCCAUCUGCUUACCUUUAUAUUUUUCACAACAUUCUUUAAUCUUCUUGUGUUUCACCUUAUUAUUUUGUUGUUUGAUCAAAGACUAUUGACGGUAAAUGUAGCAUACUAUUGUCCACUUGUAAAACAUUUGAAAAAUGUCGUAUACUAUUUGAAAUGUAGGGUAACUUUGACUAGUCAUAACUAUUUAUAAAGUCAUACAUAUGAUUGGAUGUGUGGUAAGACUAGAUGGGAUAGAAUUAGAAAUGACAACAUUAGAGAGUUGGGGUAGAACCUAUAGUAGAAAAGAUGGCAGAAACUAAACUUAGUUGGUUUGGGCAUGUAGCGAGAAGACCUGUGAAUUUUUUAGUAAGGAGAGUAGAUCAGAUGGAGGAGAGUCAUAUGACUAGUGGUAGGGGGGGAGACCUAGAAAAACUAUAAGAGAAACUAUUAAGAAGGAUCUAGAGAUUAAUGAGUUGGAGAAAGACAUGGUUUUUGAUAGAACACUGGCGUCGUUUGAUUCAAGUAGCCGACCCCACUUAGUGGGAUAAGGCGUGGUUGUUGCUGUUGUAUAUUCUAUGGGAUAGGAUUUGUUCCUAGUUUAAUUUAGACUUUCUUCUAAUGGUCUUAUUGUAGGUUUUCAUUGUUUGAUUUGGGUAGUUCUAUGUCACUGACUAGUAUAUGCACCUUAAUACGUUACAAUUUUGUUUUAACUUGAAGUAUUUUCCGUGUUCAGUAACUUUCUUUUCCUUCUAUUCUAAUCUUUCUCUCUCUCCUCAUUUUAGCACUGUUUCCCAAGUUGUAUAACUUGCUUUGUCAGAAUUAGCGACCUUCUUCACCCCCUGAAUAUGAUCAUCAUGGUGCUUUACUGUUUUUAUUUUCCCAUCAUUGGCUGACCUUAAGAACAAUCAAACUUUUGUUACUUGUUAGAUUCUACAUGCAAAUUGGUUUUGAUCAGUGUGCAAAACAUUGUUGACCUUGUUCAGAUGGACUCUCGGAGCCUUGCAAUGGAAAUGGCACCUGUUAUCAUGUGGCAAAAGGGAUGUAGACCUGAAACUUAUCGUCAAUACUGGAGUCAAAUGUCAGAAAGUCCUUCCAAACAGAGCUUGAAUCCAGAACCUGGUUCAACUACUUGGGACAUGCUUGCUGGUAUGAAAAAUGAUGCCUAAACAUGUGAUUAUUUACAUACAAUUCAUUAUGUAGGCUGUGAUGAAAAGUCAACUAUCUUCUUCUAAGUCAUAAUUUAUGAGGUAGAGGUUGUAUUGUGCGUUGAAAACAUAAUGAUAUUCAAUAAUCUUCAAUGAACACUAUACCUGUAUUUCCAUAUUGGCAAUUUGAAAAGAAGGCCAAUAUAGGAUCUGAUCAUAUGGAGGAUAACUUUGGGUGUAGAAAGAACUAAGAAUACCCAAGAGAAAACAUUUAAAAGAGAUUGAUCUUAAUUGCCCUUCCGAAAAUUGGUUUUUUUUUCUCCUAAUGAUAGCUUCAAUUGAUCUCUGUACUCAACUCCAAGUAAUGAAAAAAGACUUUUGUUGUUUAGUGCUGGGAAUUCAAUGUAGAAUAAAAAGAUUGAAGUUCUUUAGUGUUUUUCAAUUAUAAAAAGUCAAAAGUGGGAUAUUAGUGAAGCGCCAAAGUUGUCUAAAAGGAUUUGAAAAAACCUUACACCUACUGACGUUGAACUGUUGAAUGUUUUCAUGAAAGAAUAUUUUGGCUACAAAUCACUUCUAUGAUUAACUGAUGUUAGCCUCUUGGGAUCUUCUUUCCAAGGGGUGUGGCUAAACAUUUUAAAAUUUGCAUGAAGCUGUAAUUCUAACUCAUGAUCAGCAUUUGCACUCUAAUCACAAAAUAUUCUGGAAGACUAAAAAAAGUUAGUUUAACAGCUGGUUGUUUUACUUCUAUUGAACUAAAACUUGGUCUGCAAUGAAAUAGUGCGGAUUGGAGAUUACCAUAUAUCUUAUUUUCUUGUUUCUCUGUUGCAGACGAGAGUGAAGCAAUGGAUGCAUCUUCUCUUAUUCCUUUGGACGAAGGCAUGCCAGUUGACUUUGGUGCAAUCGAGGUUGUUCAGUUGCUCAUAGAACAUCAUAAUGCAGUCUUCACCGACGCCAAUGAGACAGUUUGGAAAUGAAUGAUCAUACUACUUUCCUUUGAUUCUUCGACUUGGAUGUAUUGGAUUUGGAAUAAUGUUUUCCAAUUUGGAUAUAUUGGAUUUGGAAUAAUGUUUUCCAAUCUGGAUGUGACGAUCAUUAUAUAGCAGCUAUGUUUAUGCUGGGAAAACAUGUUGGGUACUGGUCCAGUUUAGUGAAAGGUAUAUCUGAUUUUUUUAGGUCUUCUUAAGAUUUUAUUUUUUUGGGGUGAAGGGGUGAUUGCAAAAAGUAUUGUACAGCUACUAUUUGCUCCUUGCAGAAACUCUCAUCACUAAUGUACUUUUAUUGUGGUGUGAUAUUAUAUUUUUUUGGUGGAAAAAUAAUGACAUGUGAUCUGUUUAUUGUUUAUGUAGUCAUGAUUGCACAUAUUUGAAGGUCAAUUUGGUGCACCUAAGAACAAUAUGUAUCAAUACUUAAUACAUGUGUGAUUGCAAGGGUGUUGCUAAAGGGGGUGUAGAAAAGUAAGUUUGAUUUGAAGAAUAUGCAAGUAGAUUCCAUAAAUUUCUCCCCUCAUUGUGCAGCUACUAGUUUUCAUUUUUCAGUAAUUAUUGAGGGGCUCAAGUUAUGCAUAUGUAAUUAAGAAGAAAAAAAAGAAAGAAUGAAUAAGACUUACAUGUUCAUUGAUAGUUAAAAAUGGAAAUAUUUCGAAUAUGAAGGUAUUAAAUAAGACCUUCAACUAGUCACACAUUGUGCAUUAUCAGGUUUUUCUUUAGUAAAUUCAAGAAACCUGAAACAAGUUCAUGCAUUAGCAUACUUGGAAAAGAUGGUAAAUGUAAAAUAAGAGUUAAAUGAUUACUGAGAAAAGUAUUCAAAAAUCUCAGUUGGAAUGUCCUGAAAGAAGCAGUUUGAACUUGUACUCUGAGAAUUUCCUUCAAGUCCAAGACUUGGCAACUUAGUUCCAAUCUUCUUGCUCCACACACUUUCUGAACAUUUUUUCUGCUCAAACAUGUCCAUAAAAUUAGGGUCAAAGGGAUCUUGAACAAGGUCUUGGCACUCUGGGAAUAGUGGAAAGUCCAUCUGUGAUUCAGGGAGUAAUGGAAAAUUGUAUGCUGAUGAAGACUCAAAUGAUGGUACUGUGUGAAGUGGAGUGGCCUCAAACUCAAUAAUUCCAUUAAGUUCACUUUCCAAAUUUUGGUAGUUUGGCUUUGUCAAAUCUGGAAGGUUGAUCAUCUUGAACUCUUCUUUGUUUGCCAUAUAAGAAGUUGGGUAAGUAAGAUUUUCCUCCAGCUGAUUGGAACCACAUUCAGGAACCUGAAAUAGACAAUUUCAUCAUUAAGUUCAUACUUUCUAAUCUUUCAUGUAAUAGAUCAAGUGUAUUUUGAAAAUCCCUCACUAAAAUUAUCGUUUAUCGAGAUAACCUUGCAUUCACGUUUGUUUGUCACACGAUUCUAGUCUCCAAUAUUAAUCAGAUGAUUCAUAUUACAAAUUUGCAAAAUAGGUUCAAUACGCUAAGUCAAAAUGUGGACACUAUCAGAAUAAAAUCGGACAAUUCAGAAUGAUUUCGUGAUUGCGGACAAUAACAUGACUCACUUAUUUAAAGAAACUUCAUUUAUUUAUAAGUUUGAAGAGAAAAUCAUGUUCACUUAACCUUUUCAACUUUUACUUGAUUAGAAACAGCUUUUCCUUUGUUUUUCUGUUGCUUUGAUGGUGGUGAUGGUGUCCUUGGAUAAUUCCUCUCCAUCCUUUUUCUCCUGCUACUCCAAAAGUUCUUCACAUCAUUGUCUGUUCUCCCUUCCAAAUAUGUAGCAAUUUUGGCCCAUUUGUUCCCAAAUUGCCCCUGUAAUUCUAUCACCACCCUUUCUUCCUCUGAUGAAAACUUGCAUCCUCUACAAUUGAAAUCACACAUUUCAAACUUUCAUCACAAAACAAAACACAACAAUUUCCUUACACCAACACAAACACUAUUAAAUUAAACGACAUUGUUAUUUUACAAAUUGACACAAACACCAACACCAACACUUGACAAUAAUAUCAUUACUUCCUUAAAAAGAAUAACUCUUAUUACGUUUAUUGCAAGGUAAAAUAUUCUUGUAUUGUAUCUAACUAUUUUUGGCAAAGACAUUUUUCAAAUCAAACAGAUGCAUAGAAACAAAUGCACAAUGUACCGUCAAAAACAGUUAAUUUUUUGUAUAAAACUUAGUCACAAUACUAUAUCCAAUGUUUCAACCUUUGAAGUAUCGAAUCAAACACAAUCACUACACACUACACUGACACAUUAACAUCGGUAAUAAUUAAAAAACCAUAUCAAUUGAAUGUAAUCACAUGUGUUGUUGGCAAAUAUCAAUCACACUUUCGAUCAGAAAUGUCAGUGUUACAGAGGAUUCUAUAAUUCGUUACUAGUAUAAAUUACCACCAAAAAUUUGUAAGGUGUGAAAAACUACCAAUUGAACAUAAAGAACAAUAAACACCGUACCAAAGUUUGAUGCACAAGCAACAUUUGUCUAAUUCAAGUACCAUAAAAAAACACAAAAUACAAACAAACACAAACGCAAACACAUCACAUUAAAAACAAAAAGUUGCAACACAACAUGAAAUCAAUGUCAAUGUUCAAAUUAAGUAUAACAAUAAUUAAAAUUAGGGUUAAGAAAAUUGUUACUACGUUUUCAAGUUGGGUCUAAGCUUAUUAACCCAUCUUAACCGACAAGAUUUUCCAGUUCUUGGCAAAAGACCUUUGGAUCGAAUGGAGCUCCAAUCUCUAGGACCAUAUUUGUUAACAUGUUUCAACAACACUUCAUCUUCUUCACUACUCCAUGGUCCUUUUUUUAUGUAACCUCUUUCAUAUUCUCUUUCCAUUUUUUUCAAUGCAUAAUUUGUUUCUUUUUCGUUUCAUUUAUUUAUGGUGUGACAAAUUAAAUUUGAAAUGUAUUUGACGGUUGUGUUAUUAUGUGGUUGGGUGCAUGAAUAAUGCAUGCACUUGUCCACGUGGAGGGUGUGUAAUGAUUUUGUUUUGUUGUUUUGUGACGUGGCAGUAUGUUAUUGGUUUAAUGUUUAGGUUUUAUGUGGAUUGGAUUCAUGGGAUUUUUGUUUCCACUAAGCAUUAUGAACGGUUUUGACGGUUAGUGGGAACAUCCAUAACCCCGCCAUUUCUUCACUUUUUUGAAAUUAAAAUUUUGCUUCAUUAUAAUUAUGCAUAUUUCCGAUAAUUAUGCAUAUUGUGUAAUUUUUUUGGUACAAAUACAUUGUGCAGAAAGCAAUCUAUCUAUCUUUUGAAAAAGAAAAAAGAUUAUCUUAUACUAGCGUUUAUACAGGCAUUCCGUGUCCGUUUAUUCGGUUUUCAUAAUUACGAACAAUAGAUUUAUACAAUUUUGACUAAAGUUGAUUUGAUUUUGAUUAAAAUUAUAGGCAUAGAUAAAUUAUAUUUUGCACUUUCAUAUUAUAACAAACUAUACUUCAAAGAUACCAAACAAUAUAACAAAUAUAACAUCUUUAAAAAAAAAACAAAUAUAAUACAAAUUCUUAUAUAUUUGAAUGACACCAACAAAAUAACAUUCUUAUAGUCAAAUUUAUUUAAGGGUAUAAUUGGAAGGAGAAAAAUUCAGCCCAAAAGAGCCUAUUUUCUUUAUAUAUAGUAUGUAAUAUGUUUGAUCUAAAUACGGCUCAAAUGAUCUUAAAUACGCCGUUGCAUCCGUUGGUUGAUUAAGAUAAAUUGAUUUGGAAAGUUGAAAAGAAUGGAAUGUAUUCGGUGCGAAGUGCAUAUAAACUUUGUGUUAGUGAGAUAGCAGAUAAUAAAGUCCCCCACAAGAUAAAGAAUCUAGUAUGGCUUGUUUGUAGAGGAUAUUUUCCCAUAAGAGCUUGACUAAGUAGUAGAGGCAUGCAUUGUCCCGUUGAUUGUGUGUUGUGUAGAAGUAAUUUUGAAGAUAAUAUUCAUAUUCUUUUAGAGUGUCAUGGUGCUAUGCAUAUUUGGAGAGAGGUUAAUUUAUGGGAUAAGAUUGACAAGGCAUUAAGGCUAAACUAUAACAUGGAUGCUGUGAUUUUUAGUCUCUUGUCUCAACCUAAUCCGUCUCAAAGUUCUCUCUUUGCCACAAUCUUGUGGAGCAUUUGAAAACGUAAGAACCUUAUUAUGGCAACAGAAGGUGGAGACCAAUGAUCAGGUUUUAGCUCGAGCAUCGACCCUCCUUGAGGAGUGAAUGGCUGCGCAAUGUAUCCGAAGAGAAGGUGGCACGCCUAUAGAUGUGAAUCAGCCGGAGACAAUAUGACAAGAGGUUGUUCGAUGGGAAAAGCUAGCAAAAGGCCGAUACAAAUGUAAUAUAGAUGAUUCCUUAAUUAUAGUUUUACACAGUUAUUAAAAAAAUGAUUAAUAUUUUUAAUUUUAAUGGUAAAAUAUGUUUCAUUAAUUAAAAUACUCUUAUUAAUUAUAGUUAAUAGAGUAGUUUGAUGAUUGAAAUAUAAUAAUAAAUAAGAGUAAGCGUGUUACUCUUGUUUUCUUUUGGUAAGGUGUGGGAGCACUCUUGAGGAUCCGUUGAGUUUUUUUAUUUUUUAAUAUUUUUUGAAAGUUGUAGUGGUGCAAUUGGGUGGUUAGUUGGAGUAGUUUUCGUUUUGGUUCUUGUUUGCUUAUGCAAUUAUUUUCUAAAAUUGGAAUUUUAUUUUUUAUUUAUUUCUACAAAAGUGGUGCACUUAUCUUGAAUAUGCUUUUGGUGCAACUCCUUACCAAUUUAGUCCACAAUUUGUUAAAAUUCAUUGUCCUUAAUUAGUCAUUGAUCUUUAGUUGAAACAAUGUAAUCACCAAGACAAAGGAGUGGGUGGAAGGACAAAGGGUACAUGCAAGAUUAAGAAAAAGUUAGGAUAAAUUAAAAUACAAUAAUUUAUGGGUUAUGUUAAUCAGCACUCCGGAUAUUAGUUAAGAAAUUAAAAAUGAAAAAAAUAUGUCAAAGUUAACAUUAAAAGCAAUAUUUUUUUUAAAUUUCAAAAAAUAAAAUACACAAUUUCCAAAAAUUAUAUUUCUUUUAUAAUUUCUUAACCAAUGCCCAAAACACUAGUUAACAUUUCCCAUAAUUUAUAUAUAUCCAAAAUUGAGACGUAGUUUGGUUUCCCUCUUAGUGCAGUAUAGUUCGGUUUUUUCAUUUUGUUAUUGGUACUUAUUUAUAUGAAAUUGAUGAAUUAGCUUUGUCUUAUAAUUGAUUUAACUAAUGCCGACUUCAUUAUUAACAUUAUAUAUUUAAAUAUAUUAGUAUUUCGAUCACUUUAACUUUGUCAAUUUUUUAGAUAUUAUGUCGUACUCUUGAAUUGAAUGUUGUAAGUUUGUUUACAAAUUCAAUCUUUCUGUUUUAGACACAAAAUUUGUGUUGUUUUCGAUAAUAUAUAUAUAUAUAUGGAUUUGCUAGAACACAUCAACUAGUUUUUAUGUGGGAGUGUUUUAGCAAGUUAUAACUAAAAAGUUAAUAAAUACACCUUAAGGUGUAUGUUGCUAUAACACACCUUCUAAAAAAACAAGUGGGUGUGUUCUAGCAAAUCCUAUAGGCAUUUGCUAGAAUACACCCACUUAUUUUUUAGAAGGAGUAUUUUAGCAAGUGAAUAACUAAAAAGUGNAUAUAUAUAUAUAUAUAUAUAUAUAUAUAUAUAUAUAUAUAUAUAUAUAUAUAUGUGUGUGUGUGUUUUUCUUUAUAAAUGGCAACUAUACCCUAUCAAUCAUCAUCAUAAAAAUAAUUUUUAUAACCAAGUUUCACGUCUCUAUUAUUUUUCAUCAUUUUUUAGAAUUGUACGAUCUUGUACCAGAUCUUCGUUUAGUUAUGAUGAUAGCAACUACUCUCACUGAAACAUUAUAUAAUAACAUUUUUUUGGCAUAUUUAAUUACUGAUCCUGUCGGUGUAUUGUAAAAUUAUGCAAUUUGUCCUUCAAAUUCACACAUAAUUUUAGACCCGGCAACCAUAUGAAAACAAAAUCGUAGGUAAAUAAUGUAGAAAAUCAGCAACAACCAUUGACUUUUGUUAUAAGAGAGUGCCAAGUCAUUACCUUAUCAAGAUUGAGUCAGGCAGCUGUGACUGAGUGGUUUCACUAAGAUCACGACUAGUAUAAAAGCAGCAAGUCACUCUUGUGUUUUAUGCACCAAACUCAUAAGUCACUAACAUGGCUUCCUCAAACUUUUUAGUGCUGCUUCUUUUUGCUCUCUUUGCUAUCCCUCGGGGUCUUGCCAAUUAUGACAAGCCUCCGGUUUACCAACCACCGGUCUACAAGCCCCCUGUUGAGAAGCCACCUGUGUAUAAGCCACCGGUAGAAAAACCUCCAGUUUACAAACCACCGGUAGAGAAACCACCAGUGUACAAGCCACCAGUUGAGAAGCCCCCCGUCUACAAACCUCCUGUAGAGAAGCCUCCUGUUUACAAGCCACCAGUAGAGAAACCACCAGUGUACAAGCCACCAGUUGAAAAGCCUCCGGUCUACAAACCACCUGUAGAGAAGCCACCUGUUUACAAGCCACCUGUAGAGAAACCACCAGUGUACAAGCCACCAGUUGAGAAGCCUCCGGUCUACAAACCACCUGUAGAGAAGCCACCUGUUUAUAAGCCACCUGUAGAGAAACCACCAGUGUACAAGCCACCAGUUGAGAAGCCCCCGGUCUACAAACCCCCUGUAGAGAAGCCUCCUGUCUACAAGCCACCAGUAGAGAAACCGCCAGUGUACAAGCCACCAGUUGAGAAACCCCCGGUCUACAAACCCCCUGUUGAGAAGCCUCCUAUCUACAAGCCACCAGUAGAGAAACCACCAGUGUACAAGCCACCUGUUGAGAAGCCUCCAGUUUAUAAGCCACCAGUUGAGAAGCCACCUGUGUACAAGCCCCCAGUCGAGAAACCCCCGGUCUACAAACCUCCUGUAGAGAAGCCUCCAGUUUACAAGCCACCGGUGUACAAACCUCCAGUUUACAAGCCACCAGUAGAGAAGCCACCUGUGUACAAGCCUCCGGUCUACAAACCCCCAGUUGAGAAACCUCCAGUUUACAAGCCACCGGUUUACAAGCCUCCAGUCGAGAAGCCACCAGUUUACGGACCACCUCACCACCCAUAGUACCCUCCCGUAGUUGGCACUACUCGUUUUUAAAGCAUGCUUUUAAGUAAAUAAGAGAUAUAUAAACUUUCCAAAGCAAGGAUCAUAUAUUCUUGGAAAUCUUCAAUUCAAUCUUAUGUUUACAAAUGCUAUUGCCAAGACAAGAGUGUGAAAGAAAAUGGUGCCAUUUGUACUUCAAAUUAUGAAUAAGAACGUUAUGAUUUAGUACUUCUUAUUUUGUGUUUGUUGACUAAAUUUGACAGAGUAUACUUUACUUGUUCCCUAUCAUACCAGUAAGGUGCAUGAAAGUUCAGUCUUGAACGGUGGAAAUAAAUAAUAAUUAAUUAAUGUUUGAAUCUCGAAUUUACUAAAUUAACGAACUUGUAAUUUCAUUGGAAUAUACUUGACUCAGUGGUAGCUUUAGUUUCAACUUGGAAAAUGUCCGUGAUAUGACAAUUUUUCCAAAACAAGUUUAGGUUAAGAUUUUUAUUUUUUAUUUUUGACAUAAUAUACGUUAAGAUUCUUGUGUACUAAUAGAAACUGAAAAAUCAUUUUGGUGCUUAAAGUUUAAUGAGUUGGACAAAUUAUUCACUCAAAUAUGGAAAUGAUAAUGUAGUCUCUUCAAUUAUAGAAUGCCAUUUAAUUUAGUUACCUUUUCAAAAUUAGCAUCACAAUUCGCAAGGUUUUAUAUUUGUGUUGAUGCAUCAGUUAAGAUAAGGAUCACGAAAAUUAGGUUUUUGACUUGGUUUUGAUUAGGGGUGUUUGCGGUGCGUUUUGGUUCGGUUUUGAGCAUAAAAGUCAUCUAAACCUCAAGAUAAAAAAGCAUGCGGUUUGGUUUGAUUCAGUUGAUUUUUAUAUAGUCAUCCAAACAAAACCAAACCAAACCAAUGCGGUUUGGAUUGGUUCGGUUUGUACGGUUUAUCGCGAGAUGAAAAAAUAUUACAUUAACUCUAAUAUUGCCAACUUGUUACAAAAUAAACAUAGGACAUUUUAUUUUGUUGUUUAUAUGAUAAAAUAUUAGGUAAAACUUAUAUCAAAAUAGGUAAAAUUAAGAAGAAACAUAAGCAUGAAACAAAUUAUUGAGAAGUAAAAGAAACAAAUUCAUCACUGAAAAUGAAUUGAAAGAGAUGGAAAGGAAUUAGAAUCGAACCAGAUGGUGCAACAAUGGAAAAAUCUAAUCAAAUGAGAUUAUUCUUGAGCUAUGUAAUUGGGCUAGUACAUGUUUAAGUAAUAUUCAUUAUUCUUGCGGUUUGGUUUGGUACUUGAGAUGCAAACCGCAAACCAAACCGAACCGCGCGGUUCAGUGUAAAAGUCAUCCGAGUUCAUUCGAACCAAGUGCAGUUUUUUGCGGUUUCGGUUUGGAUUGGUUUGGUUUGCGGUUUUUCUAUUGGGUUCGUUCGGUUUUGAACACCCCUAGUUUUGAUCGAUGUUUCCUGAAGAUAUGUUUUGGUAAUUGAACUAAAUAAACUGUCUUACAUUCUUCAAUUAAUGAGAUUAAAUUUCCUUUUUACAAAUAUCAAUGAUUAAUGUCAAGGACUAAAAUGAUGAUUAGUGUCGCGCCAUUUUUCGGAGGUCAAGGCCAUUUGAUUAGCUUUUGACUCACUUUUUAUCUCACGACUGAACAAAAAAUUUUUUAAAGGGGAAAAAGUUUCAAACCACCCAUUUUGAAAAGAUUUAGGGUUCAUGGGUUGGUUAUAUUUAGGGAAGGUAUUAGCACCCUAAAUAUUCGUAGUACUCUAUGAGUACCUCUUGAUUUUAUUUAACUUUUUGUGCUUAAACUUGCUUGCUUUUGAAGAGAUGAAAAUAGAAUUGAAAGAUGAGUUGAAACGAAAAAGAAAAUUGAUUUUAAUUGAAAAGAAAAAAGAAAAUUGUUUUUUAGUUGAUUUGGAAGGACAAGGUCCUCUGCCUACGUACCCGUGAGGGAUCAAAACCUCGUAGUUCGGGGUAGAAAUUGACGUUUGAUUGGUUUUAUAUUUUUUAUUAGUUUUUGAAAAAAGGUUUGAAAUAAAAAGCCAAGUGGCAAAUGAGAAUUGAUUUGUGUUUUUUGGAUUGAAGGAAAUAGACUUGAAGUAGAAUUAAAAUUGAUUUGAGAUUUGAUUAAGAAAGAAAAUAGAAAUAGCGAUCACUUCAUUGAAAGUCAAGGUUUGUUAUAAAAAUAUUUUUUUGUGAUUUUUUGAUAUUUGGAUGUUUUUGCCGUUUUUGAAUAAUGAAUGAAAAUUAAACUAACAGAGCAAUGAAAAUAAAAGUGCGUGGGCGUGAAGAAAAGAUUUUGGUUUAUGUUAGUUCGACAAUAUAAAUAGUAUUUAAUAUAUGUUGUGUUCACUUUGGAUAUUAUCGGACAAAAUUUUGACAAUAAUAAAAAUAAUAAUAGUAAAAUAGAAUAAAAAAUAGAAAGACUAAAGUGAAUCAAAAUGAGAUAAAAAGAUAAAUAUUUAAAACGGAUUUAAAGUUAAUAAAAGAUGGAAACUAAAAUUAAAUGAAAUUUGAAAAUUGAGAGAAGAGGGUCCGACUUGGAACCAAAUAUGAGGUAUUUUAAAAUACCUUCCUAUCGAAAUUUUGUUCGAAAGGCUGAGACCGGUCGGAGUUAAAUGACACGUGUCAGUGCUGCCUUAGGUCAAAAAUUGGGGUAUGACAAUUAGCUCAAUAAUUAAUUAUUGUGAUUUCUUCAUUUUAUAUUUAUAUUUAAGAAUAAAAAAAAAAAAAUGACGAUAUCAACUUUGACACAUUACAUAUUCAAUCAAUGUUGACUUGACCAUCAAUGCUACAUAUCCGGAUGUAAGAGUAGUUCGACGAGUUUAUUUUUGUCACUUUUGUUGAUAUUUUGUUGGUUUAUGCUAUUAACUUGCAUCUAGUAAACUUGUUCAUAGCUUCAUCAUUUUCAGUUUUAGUGACAUGAUAUUUGUGUUGUAUUCAAUGUGAUUUACCGCGCGAUAUGAAUAAUAUAUAUUUUUAGUCAAAAUUAAUCAUGUCGGACCUGAGAUCUUUGGUUUGAUGGCGUUGAACGACCUUUGAGUAAGACAAUGUUAAACCAAAAUGAGUUUUAUACAAUGCCUCUGAAGUUUUGAUAAUAACAAAGUAUAAAAAGAACAAUUGAAUAUGCCAAUGUUGUUCAAGUAUGCUCGACCAUAUAUUAAAAUUCAAAGUAUUAAAUCAAGUUUUGAUUCUGAAAGAACAAGAUUAUGAACAUAUACAAGAGCAUCUGCAACUUAUGAGAAGCUGGAAAUUUGGAUCAGACUCUGAAUAAGUAAGACUGUGAAAGUCGGGAGUGUAACACCCUGAACCCCACAUACUAUUUUUAAAAGUAAUAAUUCAACAUUUAAAUAAACAUAUCAAGAUGUUACUCUUCAUUUUCAACACAUAACAAGUCUCCAUCUUAAAAUAUCAACUCACAGCGGAAAUAAGUCUCAACAACACAAAUGUCAUACAUCAUAUCUCAGAAUAAGUACAUCAUCAAAAUAAACUCAAGGUUCCUCAAACAUAAUAUGAUAACAUAAAUAAAAUCCCAACAUCCUAAUCAGAGAACCACUAGACAAGACUCCAAAAUCAAAGCGGUAAAAGAUGAGUAGGCUGCAAGCCGUCCUCGGAAACUCAUGGUAACUUUGCGUCCUCAACCUGCAAGUCUCCACCACAAGGGCGUAGGCGACCAUUUGCCAAACGUAGGGUAAGAUAUAAAUUUAACAUAGAGGAAAUAUGAACACAUAUAUAGUAUUAGGAUCGCAACAUCAUAUACAAGUAUUCAUCUUAAGCAAUACCAUAUUAACAUGCAUUCUCAUUGAUUGGUAAAAUAUACACAACAAAUCUCAAAUCAUCAUCACAAGAAUAUAAAAAAGUAAACACAUCAUUGAUUAAUCAUCCAAUGGAAUACAUAGGAUUCACACAUUAUCACUUUCAUUAAAUCACACAUUUUCCAUAAAAUACACAUAGUCAUGUAUGCAUCUUUCACAUAGAUUCACAUAGUCAAGUACUCAUCUUCUACAUAGACUCUCAUGUACGAAAUGUUCCUACUCGACUUUAUAUGCAUGUGGUACUGUUUUCGAUAUCAGAGGUAUUUUCUGAGUGAUUUCACCGUCACUUGGACUGACCAUGAAUGCAUGAACAUCUCAUCAUGACUCGACAAUGCAUAAUUCAUAUAACUCGACAAUUUACAUCAACAACAUCAUCACAUCGUAUAUUAAUUCAUCGUCGCUAUAUCAUCAUCAUCAUCAUCAUCAUCAUCAUCAUCAUUUUCAAUGUCAUUAUAUCAUCAUCAUCAUCAUCAUAUCAACAUCUAUAUAUAGUUCAAAUCAUCAUGUCAAACCAUAUCAAUAUGUAUCCACCUCGUCUCGCAAUCACAUUCACAGUCAUCAUCAUUAUAUAUUCAUAAGACAUUAUUCUACAUCAUCAAGUAUACUUCGUUAAUCAUCUAACAAGUUCACAGUCAUUUCAUGAUUCAAUUAUAAUUAAAUCACAAGUUUAUUUCUAACCAUUUCAAUUGCUAAGUUUACUUCCAUCAUAAGCUAGGUUAAUUACUCUUACACAUCAAAAUUAUACUUCUAUUAAUCAAGUUUAGAGGUUUGUGACAUAUUCACAUGCAUUGGAUACCUUAAAAUACCAAAAAUAUGAGUUUCCCACUAUAGGGAGGGUUGCACGGUAGUGCCAUCCAGGUGCACAGUCGUGCUCAUCAUGCAGGUAGGGAAAAGCUAUAAUUUUUGCGUUUUGCUCAGGAAGAACCCCUUUCAACACCAUUUUUCGAUCCAAUUCACACCAAACUAGACCCAAAUCAUAAAACUAAUGUUGUCUAAUCAAUUACACAUUAAUUUUACCUUAACUAACUUUAUUAUACUCAUUAUUAUCGUCAAUUAACAUGAACUUCAAUUGUUUUAAACUUAUCACUUCAAACCCAUUUUUAACAUGGUAAUUCAAACCCCAAACAUAGUAACAACCAAAUCAACAUCCCUUAUUCAAAAUGAACACAAAAAAAUUCAUCAAUUCACAUUAUAAACAUCAACUCAACAAUUAUCAACAAUUAUCAUGAAUUUCACCAAUUUCACAUAAAACUCAAAAACCCUAAUUCACCAUAAUCAAACAUUGAUUUUAACACAACUGUUAGGUUUGUAGUCUUGACAUGUUGGUGCGACAUCAUAGCGUGCCUUGUUCCGAUUUCUUGGAGAUUGUAUUUAAAUGUGAAAUCGCAGAAGAAAACUAAACGCAUCACAACUAAGAAAAGGUAGAAUAAAACCUUUCUACAAACAAAGCGCACAUCACUUGAAAGCAAAAUAAAUACGCAACUAAAUUUCAAAAAAGAUAUGCAUAAAUUAUCAUAGAAUAAGGCACCAAGUAACACGUUCUUACGUCUCAGAUUACCAAAUGGCUCUCCGAAAAAUAACCAGAGUAUGAUAAAAUUACAGAUUUCCCAAAACAAAAGGAACAUAAACUAAAAUACAAAGCACGAAAACAAAGAAGACACAACAACAUAACUCUUCAUCCACUAACUUUCCAUCAACCAAAAUCUUGGAGGGGUCCAGCUCGCUCACAUUAUCAUCAGGGUUAAAAUGCAGAACUUGCGCCCUAGUAUGCUCAAAGCCAUUGUCAAAAUAUAAGGCAAGAUCCCCCUUGCCAUCCUCAACGACGAAUUGAGCUUUGGCGAGAUCCCCUUACAACUAGACGACCUUCUUCUUCCAUGAAUCUCUCUCCAGCUCAACAACUUCUUUUUCAUCCUUCAUAUCUUUGGUCGUCUUCUCUGCAGUCUUCUUAUCCUCCAAGGCUUCCUUCAACCUACUUUCAAGACCCGUUGCUUUAUGCUUCCACUUCUCCACAUCUUCAUGAGCGUCUUUAUACUUUGCCUCUAAAGCACCAUGUUUCUUCUCCAUCACUUUUCCUAAUAAAAGGACCCGGAGCACUAAUAUUCUUGUAUCCAUUACUAGCUCGCCAAAUUUGCUUUUAACGCCAGCAUCAACGUCAACCUUAGACAGUGGCACUUUAUCCUCCAUGUAGCUACGAUAAACGCAUGACUUAAAAGUUGAAAACCCACUAACAUUACUAGAAUUUAAGUAAAAUCUCAUCAUCAAAUUAAACUCUCAUACCUACGAAAGUCGAAAUCUUUAUGCCAAAAAGAGUCAGCCACCUGAACAUUCAGAGAAAUGGUUCCCGCCACCCCGCUAGCAUAAUCAUCAUCCUUCCGACUGGCAACAAAUGUCCGCUUCGAGUCGCCCUUCCCAGUCCUCAUCUUCUUGCGUCUGGGCGAGUCAGUUUGCUCAGCCAGUACCCCAUUGCCUGCCGUCUCCAUGUUAUCAAUGUCCAUAUCCGAAUGUAACAUCCUAAAAUUUUAAGUCUAUAUUCAAAUGUAGUUAAAAAUAUAAAACAUAAUAGUGUAAUUAUUUUAAAAUACGCGAAGAUAAAAAUAAAGACAAAUAAAUAUGAUAUAAUUUCUUAUUAAUAAUUAAAUUUUAUUGGAUAAAAAGAAAAGGAGAAAGAAAGAAAAACAAAAAUAAAGGGAGUGCAAAUAACAAUUAUUUUUAGAAAAGAAAAAAAAAGUUAUAUACUUUCUCGAAUUUUUUUUCUGCCCUUGUUUAUGCAAAAAAAUACAAAAAUGCCCCACUUUUUCGAAAAAUUGCGUAAAUGCCCUACUUUUUCAGAAGCCCCUGGUACUACUCCACUUGGAGUUGCGGGGUACCCUAAAAAGUCACAAUUUUUUUGUCCUUAUUGUACGCCGCUACUUGGACUUGCGGGGUACUUUCCUACUUUUUUUUUUCCACUUUUUUUACUACCCCGCGAGUCUUAGCUUUUGCUUUUUUUUUUAAAAUUUUUUUUUUUUAAAUACCCCUCUACUUGGAGUAGAGUGGUAUAAUGAAGACAAAAAAAAUUCAACGUGUAAUAAUUACUCUCAAAUAAUAAAAAACUAAUUAAAAUUAUAUAACCAAUAAAAUACCAUCUACAAUGAUUAUAAAUGCCCGGCUGUCCCACACCUUCGUCUUCGACGAUCUCUUCCGCGAUUUACUUGAGGGUUAUGUUGGUCUUCGUCAUUUUUAUUUGUAGUUGAUUGUAUCUGACUACCAUAACCCAGUGACAACGACACAUCGUGUUCUCUUGUUGGCCAUCCCAUAUCCAGAAAUUGUUCAUUGGAGUUCAACGAAGUCGGAGAGAAGUGAGAUAAUAGGUUUGUUGGUGUUGGUGGGUGGUUGUAGUUUUGGUUGGUGUACAUUGGGUAUUGUGGGUUGUUGUAGGGGGGUAAUUGGUGUUGGACGGUCCAGCUUGGUUUGGGUCAUUAUAGGAGAAGUAGUUGUUGUUGGAUGUGUUAGCUUGGUUUGGUUCAUUGUAACCAUAAUUUGUCAUUGAAUUUUGUUGGUAAGUUGACUGAUAUUGGGGCUCAUAUGCAUUUCUCGGGGAGGUAUAUGGUGGUGGUUGGAUGAUAUUUUGUUGGGGGGUGUCGAGAAAUUCAUACAUUACAGAACCAUGAAUGUUUUGUGUUGUAUGUGGUUGGGAUUGAUGAUCUUGUAGUUGAGAAAAAAUGUCUUGAUCCCAAAAAUCAUCAUGAAUUGGUGUUUGGUUGUUGUGAAUUUCAGGUUCAUGUUCCGGCUCCGGCUCUUCUUGUUCGUCUGGAUCUGAAUCUGAUGGUUUUGUCUCAACUGAAAUCCUUAGACGUGGGUUGCAUGUGGUUGUCAACCACUCAAUAUACGCAUGAGUUGGGGUGAGUGAUCUUGGCCGCAUGUGAGGUAAAAUAUAACUCCGUCGGUUGUCCCAAUGUAAGCUCUCUUGUGGAAAGUGAAAACCAUUUGAUUGGUACCACAUCUUGAACCGUUUGUCCACUAUAUGGAAUUGUCGCAUGUCUCGUGGGGCCCCUGGUAUUUCCUGUGGCAAACCAAAUUCUAGCUUGACCCUAUCAGUUGGAUGCCAUUCAACUCUGUCAAAACAUAUAAGGUGAGUUGUUGCAGUCCACUCCCAAUAGUCUUCAGGAAAAUUGUGUGGAACAUUCUUGUAUGGUCUCCAUUUAAACUGGCAGAAGAGAGAAGUUGUAGUGUAAGGUUAACAAUUUUGAUAUAUAUAUAUAUAUAUAUAUAUAUAUAUAUAUAUAGUUCGAUAGGUGAAAUAUAUAUUCAUUAUUAAUUAAAUAACUCCUAAUUAAAUACUUGUAAAAAAACUCAUGAUUAAAUAAAUAAUUAAUUUAUAAUCGCGACAUUUUUUUAGUCCUAUAUUAAUUGCAUGUCCUACUUUUUUUUUUCUUACAAAAGAAAGUUAACAUAUAGCUUUUUAUUUCUUUACGACCAUGAAAGUGUUAAUAUGUAGCUUAAAUAACAAAAUAUCUUAAUUAUAUUUAAUUAGACCAUGAAAGUUAGUUUACCCUUGAAAUUACAUAAAAAAAAAAUUACCGUUCAAUAUAUAUAUAUAUAUAUAUAUAUAUAUAUAUAUAUAUAUAAACUCAUACAUUCAAAAAUCAAUUAUAAUAUUACUUGAUGUUCCAGUAUGUCAUCAAACUUUUUUCUGUAAGAUAUAGUGUCAUGGCUUGGAUUCUCGUAGUAUCUUGAACCUGCACCUGUCCAUCUAACAAAUGAUAUAAACAAAUUAGUAGCUAAUUUAUCAAAUAAUAAUAUUAAUAAGAAGCGAGAAUAUGCGAGGAAAUUAACAAAAAAAAUAAAUAAAUUAAUUGACCACGAUUACUUUAAUCCUAGCGGCUACUGGAGUGGGUUAUCAUUUCUCGGAGCGAUAUAACUCAACCGACAAUAUCCCCAAACUUGUAACAGAAAAUGACAUCCAGAUAGUGCUUUUAUAUUUGGGUGUGAUGCCUCACACAAGCCACGAUAAAGGUAAGCCAAAACUGCCGAUCCCCAACUAUAAUUUCUUGUUUCAUUAAAAUCCAUUAACAAAUACAACCAAGAGUUGUGCACAAAUAAUCCAGUUGUAUUAGGAAACAAGAACCCUCCAAAGAGGUAUAGUAGGUACCUCCUGUGUGUUGUAUUUUUACCUCCGGAGGAGAUUGUUCACUGAAGUUAUUAUCGACCAGAUUAUCCUUUAAUCACGACAACGAGAGAGUAAAACCAUCAGUUUUGUGUGCUGGAGGAGUUAUUCCCAACAAUUGAGCACAAUUAUUCCACAGAAGAUUUGGAGGAGCCGUAACAAUUGGUCCUCCAAAAGGUAAGCCGAGUAAAAUAUAUACGUCUUCAAACGUGAUUGUACAUUCACCCGUUCGAAAAUGAAAAGUAUGUGUUUCGGACCGCUAUCUUUCUACAAGAGUGGUUACGAUGUGCCUAUCAAUUUUGUAACGCCCUAUUUGAGAAACCUCAAAAAAUCCAGCUUGACGUAGAUAAUCUUCAAUAUAAGGACUUGGUAUGAUGUUUUGCCGUGUACGAGUGGUUAGAGGUGCACCCUCUGCAUCCUAACAAAAAAUAAUAAAGGAAUAAAAUUAAAACAUAAUCAAAAUAUAAAUUUAAAAAAACGUGAACAUAUUUAAAUUAAUAUUAAAAAAUAAAAAUGACAUUAACAAAUUAAUAUCUAUAUAUACCCAUCUUCUUAUAUGUUCUUCCAUGGAUCUAUGAUCAUUUUCCAACCACAAGUAUGCCAUUGCUUUAUAGAAUUUGAUUGAAAUAAUCUCUUAUGUGAGUGAGUAAGGAAAGGAUUGAGAUAAGUAGAAUAUGUGUAAAGAGUAAAAAUAUAGUUGUGGUAUUUAUAAUGUAAAACUAUGUGUAAAUGGUAGAAGUAGUAGUGUGGUAUUUUAAUCAAUGAAGUGAAGAGUUCCUGUGUUACUACUGCAACGCAUGCAAGCCAACAGUGUUCAAAUAAACAUAGAAAUGACAAUUGCAUCAAUAGCAGAAGCAUGGUGUUCAACAAUAUUGAAUUAAUUCGUAAACUUUGCCUCAUGAGAUGACCAUUGCAUGUAAAAAAUACAUUAAUUUCUUGCAAGAAAUUUUUGACUGAAAUGACCAAUGCAUGUUUUGAUCACGUGAAGCAUGCUAGCAAACAAAUGGCCGACAAGCUGCCUCUGAAUAACCAAUAGGAACGGCGCGUGCAAAUACUACCCCGCCACUCUGGGUUGCGUGGUACCCCCAGCUGGCGCAUGCUUUACAUACCCCGCCACUCCAGCUUGCGUGGUACCCCCCAGCUGGCGCGUGCUUUACCUACCCCGCUACUCUAGCUUGCGUGGUACCCUCUAGCCCGCUAGUCCAAACUGCGUUGUACCUUUUUUAAUUUUCCCGCUCGAAGGGCAGAUUAAAUUACAUGUUAGUAUAAAUAAAAGUGGUCUGCAUGAUAUCAUUGUAUCAAACCAUUCUACUUCAUACUCUUACUCAUUUCUUAAGAUCAAACCAAUUCAAUGGCACCAAAUAUAAACGUUUUUGUGUACUAUAAUGGAGAAGUUAAACAAAAUGAAUCCGGUAUUUUUUUUCAAAGUCAGUAUACCAAAGGUUUUAAAGUCAGCAUGGCUAGUACUUACUUGCAUCUCAAAAGAAGAAUUGCGGAAAAAGUAUGUCUCGAAGAUAAUAUGGUUGUGUCUGAAAUUAUGUGUCGGAAUCCUAUGUUUGUUGGAACUACCACAAUUCAUUACCAGGCGUUAAGAAUAACUGAUAACGACGAUGUCGAGUUUAUGUUUAACGUACAUAAAAGUCACAGUUCUUUGUCCUAUAUAGAGCUUUAUGUUACGUUUGAGAUGAAGAAUCCAACAUCUAAUUUUGAGUUAAAUUACCCAUCGAGUUCUAGUCAACACCAAAGUCUACCACAACACUACAAUCCGUCAUCGUCGCAAGAACACUACAACCCAUCAUCGUCCCAACCGCACUAUAACCCGUCUCCCAUUUAUGAUGCAUCCUUAUCGCAACCUUUUCAGUCAAAGUGGUCACAAAAUGUGUACGAACCAUCACAAAUAAUAACUCAACCUCAUCCCUCUCAAACACCAUCUCGUUCAACACAACCCAAAACCUUAAACGAUGAAAUCAAUAUAUUCACCUCCCAAUUUCAAGACCAACCAAAUGAUGAAGUUCAAGAUGAUGAAGACGAUGAUGAUGAAGAACUCCUUGCCGCACAAAACGGUGACGAGAACGAAGAAGACGAAGACGACGAUCUGCCACUACUACCAAUUUUACCAAUCAGAGCUUCUUACAACCCACCAAGGUCCAUGCGCAACGUCAAUGAUGACCACUCAACUGAACUUUAUCAUUCAAUGGCUCUUCCGGUCGAUCAAGGUAUUGCCCUAGGGAUGCAAUUUCAUAACAAGAAUGAUUGCAUUCUCGCAAUUAAAUUUUAUCACAUGAAAAAAUCAACGGAUUAUAUUGUGAAAAAAUCAGAUCCUGAAAGGUAUGUCAUCAAAUGUAAAGAUACAAAAUGUGGUUUCAAAUUGCGGGCCUCGUGGAGGAAAAAAACUGAUAAAUGGGAGAUUGGGAAAAUGAAUGAUCAUACAUGUGUCUCAACAGAAAUGACGCAAGAUCAUCAUAAACUUAGUUACAAUGUGAUAUGUGAAAGUGUUAAAUCACUACUACAUAUGGAUACUUCAAUUACAGUGAAGGUUAUAAUUGCACACAUCCGAGAGAAGUUUAAUUACACAGUUUCAUACAGAAAGGCAUGGAGAGCACGGAAUAAGGCGAUUAAAUCAAUUUAUAGUAAUUGGGAGGAGUCUUAUGAAGAACUACCACAAUGGUUGAUGGUCAUGGAAAAAGAUUUGCCAGGAACAAUAAUUGAUUUUCAAACGGACCCAUCAACAGAAGUGGCAAAUGAGACCGUCUUCAAGCGUCUUUUUUGGGCCUUUCGUCCGUGCAUCUCAGGUUUCGAAUUCUGCAAACCAAUUGUCCAAAUUGACGCAACUUGGUUGUAUGGUAAAUACAAGGGAACAUUGUUGUUAGCUGUUGCGCAAGAUGGGAACAACAAGAUAUUUCCCAUAGCUUUUGCAAUCGUGGAAGGCGAGACCAAGGAGGCAUGGAGUUUCUUUUUGAAAAAUUUAAGGCAGCAUGUCACCCCACAAGAGAACAUAUGCCUCAUUUCUGAUAGACAUGUGUCGAUAAAGAGCGCGUAUGAUGAUCCACAGAAUGGAUGGCACGAUGCUCCGACAAGCCAUGUUUAUUGUGUCCGACACAUUGCACAAAACUUUAUGAGAUCAUUCAAGGAUGGAGAACUAAAGAAGAAAGUUGAAUGCAUGGGUAAAAAUCAUAUCUCUUUCCACGUAAAUUCGACAUUUUAUUUGUUUAAAAUGACACAUCUAACUUUUUUCAAAACAAUGCAGGUUACGCCAUGAACAUCCCUACAUUCGAAUACUACCGUUCUGAAAUUGCUGUUGCAGACCGAAAGGCUUUAGCAUGGGUCGACAAUAUUCCCAAACAAAAGUGGACUCAAUCACAUGAUGAUGGUCGACGAUGGGGCCAUAUGACAAGUAACUUGGUAGAGUCACAAAACAACGUGUAUAAGGGUAUUCGAGGACUUCCGAUCACAGCUAUCGUGAAAGCAUCAUAUUACAGGUUGGCGGCCUUGUUUGCUAAAAGAGGACAUGAGGCAGCGGCAAGGGUAAAUUCUGGUGAGCCAUUCUCAGAAAACAGCAUGAAAUAUCUCAGGAAUGAGGUGAUUAAAUCCAACAGUCAUCAUGUCACACAGUUUGACCGGGAUCGGUAUACCUUUUCCGUCCGUGAAACCAUCGACCAUAAAGAAGGAUUGCCAAAGGGAGAAUACAAGGUGGACCUGCAAAAUAAAUGGUGUGACUGUGGACGAUUCAGAGCGUUACACCUACCAUGCUCACAUGUCAUUGCCGCAUGUUCUAGCUUUUCUCACGACUACAAGACUUUUGUCGAUAACAAAUUCACGAAUGAGUGUGUAUACGCCGUAUACAACAUCCACUUCGACGUGGUUCACCACCAGACAUAUUGGCCUAAUUAUGAAGGACUGAAGGUGGUUCCCAACAAGUCCAUGUGUAGGGUAAAGAAAGGUCGUCCACCAAUUACUCGCAUUAGGACCGAGAUGGACGAUGUGGAAACUGAGAGAAGAUGCGGCGUUUGUAGGAUGCCUGGUCAUUCCCGCAAAGAUUGCAUUAAUAUUAGACACCAGUAAAAAUCUAGUCUUUAUUUCGUUUGUAGGAUGUAUGGUCAUUUCCACAAAUAAUUGUAGAUUUUAUGGUAUUUUAUUGGUUAUAUAAUUUUAAUUAGUUUUUUAUUAUUUGAGAGUAAUUAUUACACGUUGAAUUUUUAUUUUUUUUUGUCUUCAUUAUACCACUAUACUCCAAGUAUUUAAAUUUUUUUUUAAAAAAAGCAAAAGCUAAAACGCAAGUCCAACUUGCGGGGUAGUAAAAAAAGUGGAAAAAAAAAAGGAAAGUACCCCGCAAGUCCAAGUAACGGGGUACAAUAAGGACAAAAAAUUUGUGACUUUUUAGGGUACCCCACAACUCCAAGUGGAGUGGUACCAGGGGCUUAUGAAAAAGUAGGGCAUUUGCGCAAUUUUUCGAAAAAGUGGGGCAUUUUUUUAUUAUCUUUGCAUAAACAAAGGCAGAAAAAAAAAAUUCUACUUUCUCCCCACGUUUUCUCAAAAUUUGUUUCUAAAAUAAUAAUAAAAAAAGAAAUAGUUAUUUCAGAAAGAGAAACCGUGUGAUAUUUUUUAAUUAGUGUACACCUACACUUCUCAUGUGCCUAUAAAUAAGAUGCUUAGUUGAACAUAAACUCACACUACAAAACUCUCCUCUCUCUAAAAAAUCAGGUUAGUUCUCUCUCUCUCUCUCUCUCUCUCUCCUUUUCUGAACUUUCUCUAUUCAAUCUAUAGUCAUUCUUUAUUCUUUUGAAAGAGACAAGAUUUACUACUAAAAUAACCUCAGAUUUGGUCCCCACAACCCUUCUUUUGGGAAGAACAACAACAUAGUAUACCCUUCUUUUGGGAAGAACAACAACAUAGUAUUAGAAUGUUCUUUUAUCAGAUGAGAAAGUGACAGUAGUUUAGUUCUUUUCAACCUAAUCAAACCAUGAAAAUAGUUUAGCUCUUUUCAACCAUUCUUUUUCAACAGAAACAUCAUUCAAUAAAAUAAAAUAAAGAGAUCUCAGAUCUGUUUUAGACUUUUAGUAGAAAAAAUUACACGAUUUAAUUAUUGUAUUUUUUAUACUGAUACAAACUAUGAAGAUUGAAACAAAGUUCAUAAGAAAGUUGAGAUCUUGUUUAAUUCAUAUUUUUAGUUUAAAGAAAAAUAAAGAAAUGAACAUUGUUUUAAGAAUGACGUAAUGACUAUUAAAUGGCUUUUAAACAUUCUGACUAUAUAAAAAGGUAGUAACAUAAGUUUCAUUUGAAAUAAAAUAAAAUCAAGCUAUUAUUAAAAUAUAUCUAAUAUAAUCUGAAGAAAAAAAAAGGACGUGAUACAGAGAAACAAAGGAAUUAGAAAACUUUAACUCGUUAUCUCUAUUAUUAUGACCUUGAUAAUGACUAUAGUCUAAUAGAUAGUUUAUUUUGGGUGAGUAUUCUAGGUGAUAUUGGAGCUGCUUUCGACGGAAACAAUAUUGCAACCACUUGCGAAGAAUCCGAAGGUAAGGGGAAUUACUACUAAUAAAUUUUAAAGAUUUUGCAUAAGUUAUGUGCUUAAGUGAUUAUAUGUGAGUAAAUAACUCUACUUGUGAGAGUUAAUUUCUCGAUGAUGUGGUAAUUUCUAGCGAUCAAGUACAUGUCAAAGGACAUCGACUUAUAUGUGUUUUAGUUAAUAUAAUUAGGAGUUUUUGAAAAUAUAAUACAUAAGUAGAAGAAAAAGUUUUGUAAAUGAUGAAUUGAUUAGAUAGUUAUAUUAUGUUUAUUUGGUAUUACUCUUGUGUAAGUGAAUGAGCAUAUGAAUUUCAAUAAGUGUUAACUGAUUUCGAUGAGUGAAAUUAGUUGGAAAUAUAUGAUUUAAAGUGUCAAUUAUGAUUCGACGCGAUAAUUUAUAAUGUUAAUCAUGAUUAAAAACUUCUCUAUAAAAAGAAAUGAUCUAAGAGAGAUAGUUGUAUCCCACCUCAUUAAUUUUAUGGUAUCAACUCAUAGGUAUGUUGUAAAGGAAAGAAACUUAAGAAUGCCAAACUAUGAUCACUAACUUAGUACGUAGACAUAGUAUAUAUAGUUAUAUUGUACGUGUAGGAAAUUCUUUAAAACAAAUGUAUAUGUGCUUUUUAACUAGGCAACAUGAAUUAUUCUUUGUUAAAAUCUCAUGAAUAAAAAGAACAUGUACUAGUUUAAUUGAAUUACCUAAGUUCUUACUUACUGCUGAAAUUUCUAUGCUUAUAAAUAAAUGAAAAAGAACAUAUGCUGGUCAUUAAUUGUUCAGUUAUUAUGUACUGGCUUGAUUUACUUGCUGGAAUUUCUAUGCUUAUACAUAAAUGAAGAGGGACAUAUGCUGGUUAUUAUUUGUUGAGUUAUUAUAUACUGGUUUGAUUUACAUCACUGUACUAAUUGAAUAAAAUUCUGAUGUGGCUAAUCAAUUUUAUAAACAUAAAUGGUUAAUUGUUUGACAUUGUUGAGUUGAAUAUGAGUGUUUUGUCUUGUCUAGAAAGUAGGGACAAUUAAGGAGCUAUAACAGGUCCCUAUACACUCAGGUGUAGAUGAGAAUGAGGAUAGUUAUGGUUUGGUUACUUUGAGGAUCUAUCGAGGGCACUUGUGUUUCGAACGCCUAUCAAUAGUUGGGGAUUGCUUCCCGGCUGAAAGUACUCGUACUACCAGACACGGUGAGCCUGAAAAAACUAGACUAUCUAUGAUAAGGUAGUGCGAUCGGACUAGAAUGAUUAGAGUUUAAGCAUAUCUUGCUCAAAAUACUAAUAAUCAUGAUAUAGUUGCCGAAACGGCCUUAUGCUCAUUAGAGUGGAACCUCCAUGGAGUAGUGAAUUAUGAGAAGAAAAUAAACUAGAGUCAAGAAAAAAAAAGUCAAAAGAGUUCAUGCAUGUGUCAUGUUGAAUGUCAAACUAUUAAUUCAAAUUGGACCUCUUAAAAGAUAGUUUUUUUUUUUUUUUUUUUAUAAUAUGCUUUGUGAUUGUUGUUGGACAGUGAAUGAAAAGAAAAUAUUAUAUCUAUGUAAAUAUCAUUUUACCUUGCUGUAUAUAUAUUAUUUUCUUUUUCCUUAUGUAAUAAAUCACGUGGAAAACUUGUGUACGAGUAAUUCACCCUUCUUUGUUUGUUUUUGUAUCUUGUUGUUUUUUUUGGGUAUGUUCGGACGUUUUUAUAGAUGAUGCCAGAAAGACAUUUAGCUCACUCGGGAACCCGCAUGAUCGAGUUCCUUGAGGUAUUUUCUUUUGCAACACUUAUUAAAGAAGAAAGUAAUAAUAAAUCAAAACACUCACACAAAGACGCCUCAAGACUAUUGGAAUCACCCUAUCGUAUCAAAAGCUCAUGAAUAUCCAUAAGUAAAAACUUCUCCAAAAAGAACACCAUACCCUACUCAUAGGGUGCCAUCUUAUUAAAAUCAUACCCCAUCACUGCAAUCGGAGCAAUGAUCCAACAUAAAGGAAACUUUGGUUUUCCUUCCACCAUCACCAACGAAGUUGAGCCCUCAGGCUCUCCUUGCACCCUAACAAACGAAUCACACCAAUCCUUCUUAAAGUUAGAAGCAUAAGGAGGGAAAAGUUUUUUACUAGGAUAGGCACUAAUUGAAACCCACAUUCCCUUGUUUACAUCUUUCGUCCUAUAAAAAUGGAAGAAGACGCCAACAGAAGGCUCCAAACUCAUCCUUACAAAGUAGUUUGAAUCCACGAAUAAACGCCUAGCUAUUAGGACGUAUUUGCGAAGGCGCCACAUUCAGAAACUUUAGCACAUCCAUCUCAAAAUCCGUAAAGGGUCGUCACCCCAAACUCUUCCAACACCGUCAUAUACAUAAGAAAGGAAUCAUCCCUGACACCCUCCAAACGCUGAUCGCACACUCUCUCGCCUACAUCACAGGGCGACACUGUCACAUCUUUCUCGUUCUCAGUAGCAGAAGUAUCCAUCUUGUUUCAGAAUAAAUUGAUAUCCGAAGGCGACAUAUAUGAAAACACCGCUCGAAGAACUUCUUCAGCUAAAUGAUUCAUCUCCAACUCAUAAGAAUACGUCAAACACAUAAUCUCUUUUUGAGUAGACGGAAGAGGCAUAUAAUGACAAAUCUCUUGACAAGUUUUCCCCCUACGACAAAUCACUAUCACUACCAUUAGAGCUAUCGCUACUAGUGUUGCUAUCAUUGGACAAUUCCCCUAAAACCCUACGAUAAAAAAGCCCUAAUUCGUAAGCUUCCCAAUCAAUCAAGUCAUUAGGAUGUGUUGCAUGUCUUAAAGAAUCUCUCCUCAGUUGGUCUCUCUCAUCAAAAUUCGUAGGAGAGAAGGCGAAAAAUGAGAGAAGGAAAAUGGAAGAGUACUUGAGAAGAUUGAAAACGUGAGCUUAGAAAUCCAGACAAUCAGCUGGCAAGUGCGCGAAUACGGAGAACUAAAAGGCGAAAAAUGCGGAAGUGAAAUGAGGAAAGGAAGGAAAUGAAGGGUCAAAGAGUUUUAGAGGACAACAACAAUUAAAACCCCCUCAAAAAACACGCUCAUCCUUGGCACGAUUGGAGACACGUGUCAAGAUACACCCAGAUUCGAACACGUCACUAUCAUCGAAAGGUCACACAUUUUGGACCAUACAAUCAUGUUAAAAAUGAAAGAUCUCGUCGAUAUAGAAUUUCAAAAAACUCGUUGCCAACUCCUCAAACAGGAAACUUACUCGCCGUGCUGUUACAAAUCACUUCGCCUUGUCCCAAGACUCGUGGUUGGGGGCUGUGAACAAACAUCAGGCAUAAAACGCAUGACUCGACUAGCACACACCCUAGGGGGCUCUAGGAUAAAGCAUAAUCACCCAAGGGGGACUCUGUAAGCUCCAACAACAACAUCCAAAGACAUACACAAAAAAUACUGAUAAACGUAAAAUAAAUUCCAAAUGCUAAUUAAUCAUUUCGCCUUGUCCCAAGACUCGUGCUUAGGAGGCUUUGGACCGUCAAUAUCUUCUUAAGGACCUAGAAGUCCUCCCAAAGGGCAUUUAGACCCUCCUAGAUGCCUAACACCCUUCAAAAGGGCUCUAAGGCCCAACACGCGCCCUUCCUAGGGAGCCGCCUCUACCAGCUUCUAAAACCUCCAAAGCUCGGCCUAAAUACCUAAUACGAUUACAAACCCUAAUACCUCAUUACGUAUAGCUUAAGAACCAUAAAUCAGGCCAAUAGAGGGCUAUAAAUACAACCUUUGAGAGCCUUCUGAAGGCAUGACCAAUACAUUACAAACCCUAAUACGAUUAUUGUACUUUUGCAAGUACAAUGAGGAAGGCGAUAUUGACAGGGAAAGUUUCCACCUAAUUUGGGCUAAAAACAUGGACUUUUGGGGGUAAAAAAGUCACAAAAAGUGACUUUUUUCGCAAGGAGCAGGGCGCCUAGCGCAUAAUGGCAUGCACCUAGCUCAUGUUCCUGCUAGGCUGAGGCGCCUAGUGCCCCUUUCAUGCGCCAGACGCUUCAGUUGUUUAGCUUAGGGGCACCUAUUGUGCACCUGGGUGCAUAAGUGCCUUUUCAGUGCCUUUUCAGUGCUGUUUUUCUUGUUUUCUUUGCCUUUUGAGGUGUUUUCUUCAAUGUAAGAUGUCUUGGAACUUGAGAACAAAAUUCCUUCCUUUGUAAAGACUUCUGAGGCAUCUUGAAUCUUCAUUAUUCAUCUUCCCAAGGUCCACAUAAAUCUUCAAAUGUCUUGCAUUGUCUGAUUUGCUUGAUUUCUUCGUGAAUUACUUCAACAACACCCUAAAAUUGCUAUUUUUCAGGAAGAAUAGAAUUACAAACUCAAUAUAAAAUACAUUACAAAUGUACCGAAAUCAUAGGCAAUUGAUCAAAUACUCUUCUUCUUUGCUGGUAAAACCUACUGAAAUUGACUGAAAAAUGUAACAGCCCUAUUUUCGUUAGAUUUAUUUUAAUUGUUUUAAUAUGUGUUUAUUUAUGCUUAUGUGUGAUUAUUAUCAUUGGGUGCAUUUUUAUGGGUUUUCGUGUUGGAAGGAUAAUUUAGUAAUUUCAUGUAAGGAUUAUUUUUAGUGUUUCAAGUGAGAACCAUUAUUUACUAAGUUACUAGUGUGGUAAUUAGUUGUGAGCCGGUAAGUGAUCGUUGUUAUUAUUUUACCGUUAAGGGAGUAGAAACAUUUUAGAAUUAGUGAAUUAGUGGGUUAAGCCCACUAAGGCAUUAGGGUUAAACCCAAUUGAGAAGAGCCUAUAUAAGUUCUAGAUUUUAGAGAAAAAUAGGUUUCCACUUCAUUUCAUAAGAAUUUUGAGAGAGGUAGAGAUAGAAAGUUCAAGAGAAGAGGAAAAUGGUUAGAAGGGAGAAAAGCUUGAAGACUCAAGAGGUGAUAGAGAUUCUAGGACCUAAAUUGAAGCUUUUGCUAGGAUUUUUGCUAAUUGAGGUAAGGGGGUUAGAUUUCAAUCAUAAUAACUUAGUUGUAGCUUUUACCCUAAUUUCAUGUAUAAAUGCUUAUUUGUAUAAAGUGAUUAUUAUGAAAUUAAUUGAUGAAAUUCGUGGUUAUGCUUUGAUGUGAUGUUUGGGUAUGUGAAAUUGAUGUUAAUUAAGUUGUUGAUGAAGAAUUUACAUGCUCAAGUUAUGUAUAUAUGUAUACUUGUGUUUUUGCUCAAAAUUGAUGAAGUAUAAUGUUAUUGUUGGUGAAUUGUUGAUGAAUUCACUUCUGAUUGUUGUUGUUGUGAUUGUGAGUAGUUGUUGUUGAUGAUUGAAACCUUGGGUAAUCUUAACCAUAGAGCUUGAAGUGAGUUUCUAUUGUUCUUGAAGUUUUCAUGAAAAAUAGGUCAAAUGGUAAUUUUGUUGAAAUUAUGUUGGAUUCAAGUUUUUAUAUGGAUUUGAGUGUCUUUUCAUGUUUAGACAAACUUUGGGAUCAAAUUUGGGUAUUGGGUCAAAAUUGGGAUUUUGGGGUGAAAAAUGAGUUUUUUUUUGUAGUAGAACUCCAGAAGCCUGUCACAACUCGCCAUGGCGAGCGGGAGGCGAGCAGGAGGUGCUUCCUGUGUGUUAACUCCCCAUGGCGAGUGAUUCACUCACAGGGCGAGCUGCACAGUGACAUCAUUCCCUGUUUCGCAAUCUUGCGUCUUUUUCACAUAUUUUUGUUUUGAAUUGGUCUUUGGUAUAAAUAUGAAAGUUUUAGAUAAUUGUGUUAGCUUUCCAGUGGCGUUGGUUUGACUUGAAAAUGAUUUUUGGUUUUUGAGUUAUGAUGAAAAUACUCCAAGGAGGUCUUAGUGAAAUUUUAUGAAAAUUCCGCAUAACUAUUUCUAAGUCAACCCAAAACUUAUGGAUUGUUUCCAAACUUCAAAACUUGUGUACUAUGAGUUAAAUUAAUGUGUUUAAGAGUAUUUAAGCUACGUUGUGGUGAAUUUAACUUGGUUUUGUUUUGAAAGUGAAUUGGUUUUACAUUAUGAGUAAAGCGAUACGAACUUUGCAAAACUUUGAAUUUAAGUGAGUUGGCCUAUGGGACCUUGAUGUAUACACUAUUGCACUCAUAUGUGAUUGGUGUAUAUACUUAGUUGAGGUUUCCAAAUGUGUUUACCUUGUUUUGUCGGAUAACUUGAAAAUUGGUAAAAUGAUACGAACUUGUCGUAACCUGUGAUUUUGAUGAUUUUGUCGUAGUAGGCCGGUGAAACGCACAUGUAUAUUCAACUACACUCAUAUGUGAUCUAAGUGUAUACAUAGUCGAGGCCCUAGAGUUUAUUUACUUGGUGUUAGUUCAUUUGUCUCAAUUAUUUUAAAGUUGUAAAAUGAGAGUUGAACUUUGUCAAAAAUGGUUCUUUAAAGCCAAUUACCUUAUAAAUCUUUUGUAGAUAACUUUAUAUGACUAAAUGAAGAUAUGUGAAUGAAUUUUUAAUUGUUGAAUAUGAUAUUAUCAUAAGGUGUUGCAUUUUCUCUUUACUUGGAAUAUGAUAAGUAUUUGGAAUGGUGGAACUAUACUAUAUGGUUGAUGUUGAUUAAUAUUUAUAUAUCAAUUGAUGUUGAUGAUUACUGAUAAUUAUGAUGAAAAUGUGAUGAUGACUCUUAAUUGGAUUAUGACUUUAUUGUUGUGUGGACGUAAAUAUUUGAUAAUGCAAUUGUUGUUGAUGUUAUCCUUUAUAUUGUUGUUGAAUAUUUAUGAGGUGAUUUUGCAUUGUCAAGUCUUUCCUUGUAUGUCCAUGCAUCAUAGUCAUGUUGAGUCUUGAUGUUGUAAAGGAGGGUUACUCUUUUACUUUGGUGAUAAUGUAAGACGGGUGUGAAAUUUUACAUAUGAUGUUUUUGUUGCAUCAUGUGUGACGACCUUGAGGUGAUUUGGUACCACAUGCAUAUAUGUGUCGGGAUUAGGCACAUAUCAUAUUGGCGUGAGUCUUAAUUGAUGUAUUUGAAUGAUGAUUGAUGAUGAUAAGUGUGUUUGAUGAAUACAUACUUGUGAUAUUUAGAAUUGUUGCAUGAAUGUGUAUAUGGAAGUUAAUUGCUCAUGAUUAAUUAAUUGAUACUUGAUUUGAUUCAUUUAUGUCUAACUAUUUAUGUGGAUUAUGAUUGUUGUAAAGCUUACCCCUAGUGGUUUUGACCACCUACCUGUCUAUAUGGAUGGGUAGACGAAGUGCAAGAUUAGUCGCUUUGGUGAGUUGCUUGGUGAUUGCUUAGAUAGAGGGAGUUAUCUCCGUUAUCGUUUCCUUAGAGUCUUAGGAUAGGCUCUGAUCUAGGAUGUAUGUCUUAUGAUUAUUCUAGAUUGUUUAUUUUGGAUUUAUUUGUGUUGUGGAGAUUUACCCAAUUGUCGGAAUUUGAAGAAUUUUUAUGUUGAUGUAUUUUGACCUCAUGGCAUGUAUACUUUUGAAGUGUAUGGUUUAUAUCCGCUGCAACGGUAUAGAAUUUUUAUAUAUGCUUGUUAUUUGAACAUUGUUGAUGAUGUGGCGUCUAUUUCUUGGAUAUUUAUAUUAUUCGCGUGUUUUAUUGCUUUAAUAGAAAUAGGGCGCUACAAAAAACAUGCUAAAAAUAACGUAAGAUGUCCUGUCAUCAUACAACGAUUGAGAAAAAGAUAAAGAUUGUCUAAUACCCAAGACUUCUUACAUAACUAUUUCAUCAAAGCAGAAUAGUUCAAAAACUGGAAGGUGUGGGUUUUCAUGACCUAGGAAUACAGGUAGCUCAAGUGAUGACAACAUAAUUUAUGGGAAAUAUGAGAAUCAUCAAGUCUGUGGUAAUGUCAAAUGGAUUCUCAAUCAGAAAAGAAUGCAGAACCUUUAUCCCAGACUUUCCCUCGAUCAUCCAAGAACCAAAUACCAAAGAUCUAGCAGACCUAGUGUCACAAGCUUCUGAAGAUCUAAUCUGACAUGGACCAUGCUCCUAGGGCAUGGACCAUGCACCUAGGGUAGGGUGCGUUUCACAGUCACAUGCGCCUAGGGCAUGGAGUGUGCUCCCUGAGAACUAAAAAAGUGUGGGGCAAAAUUGAUUUUUUUUCGACUUUUGUGUUGUUAUUUUAUGUUGUGAUUUUCUCAGAUUGGAGUGGAGGUAGGAUGUGAGAGUUCAACAGAUCACCAUUUGUAUGACUGAACAGACUAUUCAGAAAAUCUGAAUCAGUGUUUUGAUAAAUGGUUUAGCUAGAGGGUAAUGAUAUAGGUGGCGAAGGAAUAAUGAUGGAUGGUACUGAAGAAAUGUUAACAUAUUAUGUAAGCUCAAGAUCAAUACCUUUUGUAUUAUGAGAUUCUUCUGCUUUGCCUGGUGAGGUUGGCUCAACGGUAGCUGUUGUGAGGUUGGCUCAACGGUAGCUGCUUCUGUGACUAGCAUGCUGACUUCUUCUGCUUGCUUCUGUUGCUUCUCUUGGUUCUCACACUCAUCUACAUCGAUGAAUAUUAGAUGACACAAAUCUUCCUUAGCAUGUACAUUCUUCUUCCUUUCUGGUGAGGGAAUGAGUGAGUGAAUAGUACCAGAGUUCCUUGUGAGCUUGGAAAAAUCCGUUUUGUAGACAGAUCACAAAGUCACAUACUCUUAAUUUGUCUCUGAGUCGGUUUUGGAUUGCCUCGUCUUUUUGGGUGCUUGAGAAACUUUCUCAUCACCUUUCCUCUUAACCUCGACUUUCUUUAACUUCUUUGUUGGAGGAGAUGUUGUGACUUUGGAUGAUUUCCUCUUAUUCUUCUUGUUGUCUGCAGUUUCUGAGUCACCAGGAGUUUAAUCCGGAAAGAACUAAUCCGCAACUAAUUACUAAUAUUUUUCAUUGAAAAAAAAUAAUUUUAAAUAAGACUGGUACCUUGGUCUGUUGUAAAUUUGUAAGAACUAAUUUGACAGACAAUGAUAUAACUCAAAGACUAAUUUAUUUGUAAGUGCAAUAAUUUUGUUACUAAUUUUUGACCGUAAAUAACACACAAGUUAGCAGAAGGACCAAGUUGUUCAAUAUAAUUCAAAAUGUGAUUGUUUUUGCCAUGGCAUCCCCCAGUUUUUCUAUAAUUACACAAGAUUCCCUUUGUCUCGAUGGUUAGGAAGUACAAUUUUCUUUUGGAUGUCUCGUGUCUGAGUCCUAAUUCCCCUCAUUUUUAUAUUUCUAUUAUAUUAUAUUUUAAAUUUUAUUAAAAAAAUGUUCUUGAGGGGGAAUCGAACACGCACCACUACACUGAAUUCUAGCAAAAAACUGACCCCUAGACCGGUUACUGAUCUGAAGAAUAUUAUGAAACAACUAAACAUAUAUUCCAUAAAUUUUGGCACCCCCAAGAUAAAAACUCAAGAUCCGCCAUUGCCUAACUCAAGGUCCUAAAUACGCCACUACCAUUAACUAUAAUUAAUAAGAGUGUUUUAGAAAAUGAAACAUAUUUUGAACAUAUUUCUUAUCAUUUCUUUAACAAUUAUGUAAAACUCAAAAGGAACCCUUAAUUUGAGACAGAGGAUAUAUAAUAAUCGAUGAAGUUUAAUAUCUGCAAAAAAGUGUUAUUAAGUGAAGUAAACUUAACAAGGGUGACACUUGUUUUCUUUUGGUAAGGUGUGGGAGCACUCUUGACUGAGUUUCUAUUUUUUUUUUUUAUAUUCUUUUGAAAGUUGUAGUGGUGUAAUUGGGUGGUUAGUUGAAGUAAUUUUCGUUUUGGUUCUUGCUUGAUCUAUUUUGCAUUGUGAAAUUUCAAUUCUUAGUUUGCUUUCUACAUUGACGGAGUUGCUAAGUUGCAAUCAAACUUUUGAGUGUGUAUUAAUUAUAACAGUAAGAGUGUUGCUAGCACUACUCUUAUAUAAAAUCAGAUGUAUUUUUAAAUUUAUUUAUUUAUUUUUUUUUUUUUAAUUUCUACGAAAGUGGUGCACUUUUCCAUGAAUAUGCUUUUAGUGCAACUCCUUACCAAUGUAGUCAAACAAUUUCUUAAAACUCAUUGUUAUUAGUCAUUUCGAAACAAUGUAUUCACCAAGACAAAGGAGUGGGUGGAAGGAUAAUGGGUGCAUGCACAAUCAAGAAAAAGUUAGGUGAACAUUACAAUCAAAAUAUAUAGCAUAGAGCAUCAAAAUUUAUCGUAUGAAACAAUGUUUUUCUAAAAUAUGAAUGUGAACAAAUAACCCUUCAACUCAUAAGAUGAUCUUUAAUAUAUAGAAUUAGAAAGUUAGAGUAUCAGUACACCGAAAUUUAUAUAUUCAAAAGUGAGGCGUAGUUGGUUUUCCUCUUUAUGUAGUAUAGUUCGGUUUUUCCAUUUUAUUAUGGUACUUAUUCCUAUCAAAUUGAUAAAUCAGCUUUAUCUUAUAAUUGAUUUAACUAAUGAUGACUUGAACAUCAAUAUUAUAUAUUCGGAUAUACGAGUACUUCAUCGUGCUCUUAAUUUAGAGAUGUUUUGAGUUUGUUUACAAAUUGAAUCUUUGAAUUUUAGACAUAGAACUUGUACUCUUUUAGAUAUAAUAUACCGAUUUGAAUGGAUAAAUACCGUAAUUCCAAACAUAUAUUUUUUUUUCACACACAUACCUCAUCCAUUACGAAACGCAGGAACUAAAGCUAUAUAAUAUAGUGAAGCUAAUUUAAUAAAAAAUAUAUAUAUUUGGUGAUGCUAAACUCAGUCUAACUUAAUGCCAGUUCAAAAGGAACACUGUGGUAUGGAGGAAUUCUUUGUUUUGCAUUUAUAAAUGGCAACUAUACCCUAUUAAUCAUCAUCAUAAAAAUAAUUUUUAUAAUGUAUGAGACCAAGUUUCACGUCUCUAUUAUUUUUCAUCAUUUUUUAGAAUUGUACGAUCUUGUACCAGAUCUUCGUUUAGUUAUGAUGAUAGCAACCACUCUCACUGAAAAAUUAUAUAAUAACAUUUUUUUGGCAUAUUUAAUUACUGAUCCUGUCGGUGUAUUAUUGUAAAAUUAGGCAAUUUGUCCAAUCAAUUCACACAUAAUUUCAAACCUGGCAACUAUAUAAAAACAAAAUCAUAGGUAAAUAAUGUAGAAAAUCACCAACAACCCUUGAAUUUUGUUACAAGAAAGGGCCAAGUCAUCACCUUAUCAAGAUUGUGAGUGGAUUCACAAAGAUCACGACUAGUAUAAAAGGAGGAAGUCACUCUUGUGUUUUCUGCACCAAACUCAUAAGUCACUAACAUGGCUUCCUCAAACUUCCUAGUGCUGCUUCUUUUUGCUCUAUUUGCCAUUCCUCAGGGUCUUGCCAAUUAUGAGAAGCCUCCGGUUUACCAACCACCGGUGUAUAAGCCACCAGUUGAGAAACCCCCGGUCUACAAACCCCCUGUAGAAAAGCCACCAGUAUAUAAGCCACCAGUAGAGAAGCCUCCAGUUUACAAACCACCGGUGUACAAGCCACCUGUGUACAAACCCCCAGUAGUGAAACCCCCAGUCUACAAACCUCCUGUUUACAAGCCACCGGUGUACAAGCCACCAGUUUACAAACCACCAGUAGAGAAGCCCCCAGUUUACAAGCCACCUGUAUACAAACCCCCAGUAGUGAAACCCCCAGUCUACAAACCUCCUGUUUACAAGCCACCAGUUGAGAAGCCUCCAGUUUACAAGCCACCAGUAGUGAAGCCACCUGUUUACAAGCCCCCAGUCUACAAGCCACCAGUAGUGAAGCCACCUGUAUACAAGCCUCCAGUCUACAAGCCACCCGUUUACAAGCCUCCAGUUGAGAAGCCUCCGGUCUACAAGCCACCUGUUUACAAGCCCCCAGUUGAGAAACCUCCAGUCUACAAGCCACCGGUUUACAAGCCUCCAGUCGAGAAGCCACCAGUUUACGGACCUCCUCACCACCCAUAGGACUCUCGGAUGCUUUUAAGUAAAUAAGUUAAAUAAGAGAUAUAUAAUGUUUCCAAAGCAAGGAUUAUAUAUUCUUGGAAU
rnacentral:lncRNA from 1 species